rnacentral:lncRNA from 1 species
GGCACCCCCAUCAAGGUGGGCUCCUUCGGCGAGGGCCGCAUCACCAUGCGCAAGACCGCGGCCAAGCCCAAGGUGGCGGCGUCCGGCAGCCCGUGGUACGGCCCCGACCGCGUCAAGUACCUCGGCCCCUUCUCCGGCGAGCCCCCGAGCUACCUGACCGGCGAGUUCCCCGGCGACUACGGCUGGGACACCGCUGGGCUGUCCGCUGACCCCGAGACCUUCGCCAAGAACCGCGAGUUGGAGGUCAUCCACUCCCGCUGGGCCAUGCUCGGCGCGCUCGGCUGCGUCUUCCCCGAGCUGCUCGCCCGCAACGGCGUCAAGUUCGGCGAGGCCGUCUGGUUCAAGGCCGGCUCCCAGAUCUUUAGCGAGGGCGGCCUCGACUACCUCGGCAACCCCAGCCUUAUCCAUGCGCAGAGCAUCCUCGCCAUCUGGGCCUGCCAGGUCGUGCUCAUGGGCGCCGUCGAGGGCUACCGCAUUGCCGGCGGCCCACUCGGCGAGGUCGUCGACCCGCUCUACCCCGGCGGCAGCUUCGACCCCCUCGGCCUGGCCGACGACCCUGAGGCCUUCGCCGAGCUCAAGGUCAAGGAGCUCAAGAAUGGCCGCCUCGCCAUGUUCUCCAUGUUCGGAUUCUUCGUCCAGGCCAUCGUCACCGGCAAGGGCCCGCUCGAGAACCUGGCCGACCACCUCGCCGACCCAGUCAACAACAACGCCUGGGCCUACGCCACCAACUUCGUCCCCGGCAACUAAGCUCGCCAUUCGCCUCUGCAACUCCAUUGUCUUCCGGCCGGGAGGGGCGUACGUGGAUUGGUUGAUGCUGCAAGCGAGCUGCCGCAUGCGUGUCUUGUUUCACGUUGCAUUUCAGGGGCAAGUCGAGAUGAUGAGUCGGCGUUGUACACUAAGAUGAUGUUUGUGCAAUAGUAGUGGUUUUGUUCCCUGGUGGUUAACCUUUGAUUUGUCUGAUUAAGGGCAUCUCUUAAUUUGUUACUGUCUACAACUCCUUUUAGAUCCUUGAGCUAAAGUUUAUUCCUUAUCGUAUCGAAUCUUCGGAUGCUAAUUAAGAUGACUAAAUAUGAGCUAAUUAUAAAACUAAUUACACAUAUGGAGGCUAAUUCGCGAGACGAAUCUAUUAAAUCUAACUAUAUUCGUCUCGCGAAUUAACCUGUGCAAUUAAUUUUUUAAUUAAUCUAUAUUUAGACGAUGUGAUAUAGAUCACCGCGGAACCAAACGGGAGAUUAAACGUAUAAAUAUAUAUAUAUCGCAGACCUCGGCAUGUUUCAUCCUGUGAUACAUGCCACGUGUCCACUAGACAGUGCUGGUGCCGGAAGAAAAAAAGAGGAUCGACGGUGACUGCACUUUUACCGUAUCAGCUACUGACAUGUGUACCGUGUUCUUUUUUUUACCGUCCAUGGGCCGUUGUACUCUGGUUUCCUUAAGCCGUUUCGUACGUUAGGCUUCGGCCUACGUGUGCGUCGUCAGUGUGUGUCCAGUGUUGUGGCCUACUGUUUUGCCGCUUAGUUGCCUUCAAACGCUAUAUGUAAAUUAACAGUUGGUGUAUAUCUAAUCUGGACAAUUGUUGAGCUUGUUAUCUACAUAUUUUAGUAUGUUCUUGUAUUAACCCGUCUCUUGACACUUGAAAUAAUUCCAUUUUUCAUAUGUAUUGUAUUUUGGAGAACCUUCUAUUUUUUGCAGGAAAUUGGACUGUAUCGAGGUAUAAUUGGACAAGGUUCUGGACAAGCAACAACAUAGAGAAAGACGAAGGCCAACGGGUCCAAAAAGACCUAGGCCAGGCUGAUCGGCCUAGAGUCCUCAGGGCCCCGAUCAUGCUCGUUCUUGGCGAGCACUCCUAGGCCGAUCGGCCUGAGGUGUUCCUUCACCCGAUUACCUUCCAAUUUCUGCCACGAGCUCUUCAAACUAUGAAUACCCCAAAAAUUCAGAGAGCCCCGGCAUUCAUCCGCCAGAACUCGACGAAACCAAAGGUAUACACCAAAGGGAGCUGAGGCCCACUGCAAGUCUUCGGAGUUGUCUUGGAGAUGGCUUAGGCCGACCCUAGCCACCAUGGCCUCCCUGCACGAUUGUGCCAUGGUGAAGUUCAGGAGAGCCAGUAGUAGAUCGUCGAUGGUAUGUACUCAGAGGUGAUGAUCUAAAUACAUCUAUUAUAUGAGCAACGUUCUUCAUGUCAUCUGAUCUAUUAGCGACUUGUUGUCUCCUUCUAUGCUUUCUACUUAUCAUGAAUAUGCUUGUCCCUUAGUCUAAUGCUAGUUUAGACUACAUAGCAUGCUUUAUGUAAUCUUGGUGAUUAGAUCUAGUAUGUCGAUCCUUCAUGAUAGCUAGACAUGUUCACCUGUGUUCGUACCCUUAAAUUGCCUGCGCCGAUAGGGGGAUCGUGACGGGGUCUGCUUCCGUGUAGGGUGGGGGUUUUCGGGAUGUUGACCGGAGGUAGUAGUAGUUUAAAGAUUGCUUUGGAUGAGAUACAUGAUGUGCUUGCUUGUUGGCUAGAACUACAACUAGAAGAUGAUAGGCUCUUUCUACCCUUGGUGGUGUUAUAUCAUAUAUAUCUGUGGAUGUGAUCUACACUUAUUCAUGCCAUUGAUCUUUACAACAAAUUUGCCUUCAUAUGCAAUCAAUGCUUCGUGUUAGAACUAAUCCGUUAGAUUAGAUGGAAAUCCAGAGUCAGUUUGCUGCCGAUCCACGGAUUGAUAAAUCUUGGAUAUAAUACUUUAAGAGAAAAGCUAUGAUGAUCCGUUCGUUUACGGUUUACGACUUAACGUGUUAACUACCGUCAACAACAAUGUAUGUUUGUAUGGAUACACCCGGUACCAUUUUUUACAUGUCAAACAUAUUAUGCAGUUGCAAAACAAAUGGUUUAUUGUGGCUCCUGUUCAACUUCCGUGGCUCGAUAGAGAAACACUUAUUCAUAUCGGCUCAUCUGUGCCCGACAUAAAUGAGCCGGCAUGGAUAAGUCAUCCAUAUCAGGUUGAAAAUGAGCCAGCGCAAACAUUCAAUUAUCCCUGGCUCUAUUAUUCAUGCUGCUGUAAUUUUGAGCUGGCACGAAUAAUCCAUUUUUCAUGCUAGCUCGAAAUUGCAUCGGCACAAAAAAAAAACUCCUAUCUAUGGAAUUCGAAUUUUAGCUUAUAUUCAAAUAAUUCGUAACUUGUGCGUUCAAACUCGGAUGGAGACAAAUUUUAUAUCAAAAUUGUACAGUUUCACCAGAUCUACAACUUAGUUAAAUAGUUUUUUAUUUGAAGUCAUUUAGAUGCUCAAAUUGUUGAUCACAAUACUAGACAACAAGGGUAAAAAAGAAUAAAACUUCCCUUUGUGUGCAUAUAUGUGGUAUAUGUGUGAUGGUAAUGAGGUAUCGUGCGAGGGGGAGGUUGUGAAUUCGAAGGCUAGACACCUCACACAUGUGACUUCUGACUAUAGAGUGGCCUCCAUGCCUAGAAAAAAAAUAUUUUGCUAUAAGUUUUCAUUUUUACUAAUUGUGUUGGCGCAAUUUUCCACCAGUAGGUACAAUCUGUUAUUCGUGCCGGCGGAAUUGUCCACGGUACGAAUAAUUCGUUAUUCGUGCCAGUCGGCACGAAAGCUGUUCAUGUUCGCAUCGGCUUCGUGGUGCCGGUUUGUUUAAUUGCAUGAAUGAGGUUUUCGUGCCAGAUGAGAUGAGGUGCUCUGCAGCAGUGGAGGGCCACAAAUUUACAUGUUACAUGUAUAGUUCCAUUCGUGUGACGUAGUGAACUAAUGAUCGGGCCACACAUUUACCAUAGAGACUAGACUAUUCGUUCUGAGCCAUAAAAAAGUUCACAAUUCCUUAUGUGCCAUUAAAAAUGUUUUGUUGCCUUUCCAAUCAUCGUAUCAAAUUUUUGAAUACCUCAGUGCCACUGCCGUCCAUUACCGUCAGCUCUGUUGCCGUGAACCCCUAAUUACAUGUCAGUUCUUUUCACAAAUGGCCAUUUUGCACUUCCAUCGUUUCAUUUCAGUUCACCGGUCAUUAUUCAGUCAAUCAGUAUGCCGCUUCGUCGGAAGAAAAUUAGGUGCACACCGGAUGCAAAACGCAUCCGGUACAUACCCGUGUGCUCGGCCGACGCGUGGAGGGCGCCCCAAAUCCGACGGAAGCAAUCGUUGGGUCCAGCGGCUCGUCGCGGCGCGGCUCGGCUGCAUGGCUCGAUAACGCACGGCUGCAUGGCUCGAUAACGCACGGCUGCAUGGCUCGGAAGGGAAGGAAUAGGCGGUGCCGUACGUUGAGGUCCUUCGGGUCUCCAGCUUCCGGCAGCCGGCCGUACGUUGCCUUCGGUGGAUACCUCCUGCACACAUACGAGUAGAGCACGACGACGAACAACGCCAUGAGUGUCAAGCACCACCCGAACUACACGUUGAUGACGGCCUUAGUGUGGUGCUCGCUUUCGUCGCUGUGGCAGCGGAUAGAGAGGCCGCCAUCCUUGAGUGAGUAGCCAUUGGCGAUGAGCCCCGGGAGCCACAUGACGCCGAUGUCCAUGAACCACACCCCCUGGAACGUGAGUGCCACCGACCGGAUCAGGCUCACCGUGAAGCUUUGCGGGAAGCUGGCGUCGAGGAGCGCGGUGGCGAGGCGGCGGCGACGACGGCCUGCAGGAACCAGUGGAACUGGCCCUUGACGCCGGCGUGGUCGGAGGAGUGGACGUGGAGCAUGAAGAGCUCCUGCGCGUAGACGAGCGCCAUGAGGAGCGUGCAGAGCGUGCGGCGGCCCCGCAGCCACCAGGAGCGGUCGAGGUACGCGGCGGCACCGGUGUAGAGGACGAGCGCGGUGUAGAUGACGGUCCGCCGGCCAGAUGGAGAAGGUGGCGGCGGCCCAUAUGGAGGAGGCGGCGGCGGCAAGUGCGUCGCCAGGAGAUCACGAGGCGGCGGCUCGCGUUCCCCAAACCCUCACCCAACUAUUCCUUCCCUGCCGAGCCAUGCAGCCGUGCGUUGUCGAGCCAUGCAGCCGAGCCGCGACGAGCUGCUGGACCCAGCGAUUGCUUCCGUCGCAUUUGGGGCGCCCUCCACGCGUCGGCCGAGCGCAUGGGUAUGCACCGGAUGCGUUGUGCAUCCGGUGUGCACCUAAUUUUCUUCCCGCUUCGUCUUGCUUUGCUUGAUGCCCCUCUUACAGCUUUGGGCCCAUCUGCAAGGCUCCAAGCCAACAAAUGGCAUCACGUUGUCGCGCCUGGCCACCGAGUUGACCUCCAGUCCAGCGACCAGCAUCCACACCAACCGCGAGACGGCGCAUCCUACAGUGACAUGCGCGGAUAAGUUAGCGGACACGGCAAUCUCUGCUAUGUAGCAGAACGAGGCCAUGCUGCGGUCUUGCGGCGGGGACCGAGCACCGUGCACCGGUGUGGCGGUGCCAAGCCCGGCUCCUUGCCGCGACUGGCGUCGAGGUAGUCCUUAACGCAGCCGAGCGCGUCCUCCUGGAAAGCCUCGACCUUGAGCUGCUGCCCCUCAUCACACAGUCGCUGGCGCGGUCAGGUUCUGGAGGCAAAGGGCUACACAGCUCCACGCGCGCAGGGUGCCGACUACCGAGGGAGACCUGCUGCAGCCUGCAGGCAACAAGUAGUGCCGCCACCCCGCCGCGCGUGGGCAAGGCUGCCGCGGCGUCCCACGACGCGACCGUGAGCGGGAGCAGCGCAGGCAGCUCGGCACCGCCGGAUCCAGCACGCUGCAGUGCAGAGGUGGGGCACAACGACGGCGCUUGGCACCCUGUGUACGACCUGUGGCGCAAGAAGACCUGGAGGACGCCGCCGCGGCGGGCACCGCCUCCUGUAGGCGGAGGCACUCCGCGAGGCCGGCCGGGGUCCCCGGACUCCGGAGGCUCGAGCCCAAGAUGAAGAAGAGUUCAGACCGGAGCGAUGAGCAGCGUCAGCUAGACGAAAUCGAUGAAAUCGUCGUGCGAGACUGAGAGAGGAGUAGGGGAAUAGAAGGGCAAGAUGGACAUUUUGGCUCGCCGUGAGCUCCCGUUCCCACUGAACUGGACGGCAGUGGCACUGAGGUCUAAACAAAAUUGAACUGAUGUCACGAAGGGCGUGAGAACUUGGUGCGUAAAGAAUUGCCUCUUUACCAUAUACCUUCACCUGCAUAGUGUAAUAUAAUGAACUAAUGAUCAUUUCAUUUGAUCUGCACUCUGCACUGUAGAAGCUGUUGUUUUUAGUCUAUUGUUAUUAAACCUAUAAGAGAGUCUUUCACUAUGCCAAUUUUCAAAUGUCCUAAUUAGAUAAUUGCAGAGACCGAACUACCGCCGUGCCACAUUUUCGCACUAUUCAUGCUAUUGCUGGCAAUCUUUUCAUUCAGUUCAAGCCUGCCAAAAAUGCAAACAUAUGAGCAGAGAGAGACUUGCCGCCCUUUUAAUGCAGUAUAGAGGGAAGUUUAGGCUAGAAAUUUAGAACAAAUACUUGACUACUAAUGUAGCACCAACAACAGGGAUACAAGCCUAUAGCGGGCGCGGCGGAGCGCGCCGCUCUUCCAUGAGAACAGGACAUCAGUAGUUCUACCAAAUUCUUAGCGUCUACCUAUUUGGCUAUUUGAGCACAGUUUAUCUCGUAUUCACCAAAUUGAUUUUGCGACUUUGCACACUCGCUCGCACACGCAGGCGCAGCAGCGAGCAAGCCAGCUAGCUAGUCGAGGCGGAAGAAACUGAGCCAUAGCAGCAGCAGCAGCAGCGGUGGACUCCUACGUAACUUACGGAAGCUGGUUAAGGCGUACUCCUCCGUGUAGAAAAAGUAAGUCGUUUUGGACAGCGAUAUGGUCUUCAAAGUAUUACUUUGACUGCUUAUUUUUAUAAAAAUAUUUAUCAAAAAGUGAUAUAUGUAUAUUUUUAUGAAAGUAUUUUUCAAGACAAAUAUAUUUAUAUGGCUUUCACAUUUCCAAACUCAACAACUUAAAAGUUAUUCAUGAUUUAUAUUCCUAAUGUUUGAUCCAAACCUUGUCCAAAACGACUUUCUUUUCCUAUACGGAGGGAGUACAACUUUAAAGUCCGUUCGACCCAUCUAACGUAACCAUCGCAGCACAUCAAUCUUUCUUCAUAAAUAUUAUUCAACAUUUCCUUACACUUAUUCAACAAUCCGUAAGUCCUAUUUCAACAUUUCGAAUAUGCUAACUCAAUAUUGCACGGAGAUUAGAUAUUUAUUUUUGACUUGCUCCCCCACCUCACAUAGAUUUUUCCACGUGUGAUACACGCUUCAACAUUUUCUUACAACUGAUCAACAAUCUGCAAACCCUGAUACAUCAUUUCGAAUAUACUAAUUCAACAUGUCACGGGGUCAGAUAUUUAUUUAUAGUUGGCUUGGGAUGAGGUAUUUAUUUACGGUUGGAUUGCUCCGCCACCUUUUCUUAGCCAUACAUGUACUAUAACACGAAGCCAUGUAAAAAAAAUUGUGGAAGUUAUAUAUAGGUUUCCCGGCAGUAGUGGGCCUAGUGGCCCAUGAGAGACUGUCUUGGGCCGCUAGCGGCUCGGCCGCACGGCACGAGUUAGCCAUAGCUCUGUUCCACAUCUCCUUUUUCCUCUCAGCUGGAUCCUGUUCAUGCUGCUGAGCUUCCUCCUCCCCGGGACGUCCACACGGUUCCGGCAUCAGUGCUGGCAGACCGCCGCCGUGGCCUUCUUCUCGGCGGCCGUGAUCACGAGGCGGCAUCCGGUGGUCUGGUCCCCGGUGAUCCGCCGCUGGUCCGGCCAGCGGAACCAGAAGCCCAAGCCGCCGCGUCCCGUCGGCUAUUGAAGGUGAAGGCUGAAGGGGCGACGACUGACAAUGUUCGUGAAGGCGAUGGUGCUUGUCUGUUUGAUGAUGAGUUGACGAUCAAGUUCGUGAAGUAGUGAUGCUAUUUGUGAAAGUUGUUUUCCUGGAUGCUAACUAUUGGAUGAUUCGGUGAUCCGUGUAAUUGUUUCGUUUAAAGACAUCAGUACCACUUGUUGAUCACCAUGCUGUUGGAGUUCUUGGAGCUGUCCCCUGACUGCUCUGUUUCAGUGUUCCUUUGUGCAAAAUACGCAGGCCUGUUUGGGGCAACAAGUGACUUUCUUCCGUUCUCGAAGAUACGCAGGCCUGUUUGGGGCUACAAGACUUUUUUCCGUUCUCCAAGAUACGCAGGCCUGUUUGGGGCAUCUUUUCAAUAUGAUGCAACAGAUUUUAGUGAAACAAUAAUCUGAGCAAGCUAAUUGAACAUAACUUACUACGUUCCGACAACUCGCUUAGUAUUUGCUUGCUCUUAUUGUCGCCAAAGAUUCUUGCCAUGCCAAAAUCUGAUAUCUUUGGGUUCAUCGCUGCACCCAACAAAAUGUUGCUCGCCUGUGGAUGAUUGUCAGUCUUCUUAAUGGAGGCAAAGAAGACCUCGAGCAACCCCUUUGAUUAUCUUCAAACUCGUGGCCAAUCCAGGCAUCCAACGCUGAUUUUCUUGCACUAACUGCAAAAGAGCAACAUUUUCAUGAGCAAGAUGAACUGUUUUUCAGUGCUAAUUCAGCAGUUGUGUGAAGCUACUAGAACAUACUGAAAAGAGUAGCAUAUGCAAAUCUAAGCUAUGACUUACUUUGUAAACGUUGCUUAAACCUCCUUCCCCAAUCGUUGAUGCUUCAGAGACGUUAUCGGUUGCGACGAGUAUCUCAUUAUAUUUAACACAUGGGAGCGGAUGCAAUAUAUCAGGUGACCGUCUUCAGUUUUCUCAGUGGAUGCUUCUUAUUAUCGAAAAGUGUUCGAAAGAUCUGCCGCGAUACGUCAGGGGUGGGCACCAAAUGAUUUCCGUAUGAUACUUGGAGCUGUCCCGUCUCAGUUAUCGAUCAUUACCCAGCACACUUGGCUCCUGACGCGCGCAGUAGAGGCGAUGAGCAUCACCAGUUCACCAUCAUGCAUGGGUACGUUGCCCAGCUUGGCAAGACAGUGCAACUGCCACCGCCUGAGAAUGGCGUAAGGCCGGCGAAACGCGCCGGCUGGGAGAGCCUUCACCGGCCGCCGACGGUGUAUGGGGCGCCGCCGUAUGCCACGGUGGGUGGUAUGAUCGACGUUCCAUUUCGUUGUGCAGCUGUGCCAACACCUGGGAUCAACGCAACAGCGCACUAGUAGUGUAGUGACCGGGAAGAAAAUUCUAUGCGGUGGUGUCGCACCACGAUCCACCGGCGGUCACCGUCUACAAUGGCGCUGGCGCCCGACACCGUGCGUGGUUGCUACUCUCCGGCAGUCCGGCGCGCAUCGAUCGCCGGCCUUGUGCCGUUCUUGCAGACGGCCGCCACCGCCUUGCCUUGCCAAGCCUGCGAGACGUCCACCUACUACGUCCCUCCGCGACGAGCCGACGAGCCAGCCCAUCAUUUGCGGCAGCGCGCCUCCAGGACAGGUGCAUGCAUUUUAGUUGGAUCGAUCAGCCUCGUGCAAAAUUUUCAACAAAUUCCAACGACACGUCCAGCGCAAGAGGCUGUUCACUUGCACCAAAAGAAAGAGAGGGAAACAAAGAGGCUGUUCACUUGCUCUGCGAAAACAAUUGGGAGCUGUUCCUUACAUGAAUCCACCGCAUAACCGUCUCUGUCCAUCUCAGUAUCUUACUGAGAUGAUGGCAUAAAUUUAGCAAGUGUCGCGCCGCAGUAGACUAGAUACGUCAUCGAUUCAUCAUAAUAUGAGUAGCCUUGGAGUGGCAUAGAUAAGAACGACCAGAACUAGAACUGUCAGUCUCCCUUCUUAACGGUUCCUGUCAUGGUUCCGGCCGGUGCAAACCAAAUUCAAGUACGGUGUUUUUUUUUUAAAUGAACCAAGCUAAGUACGGUGUCUUGAACUUAUAGUUUACUUCCUAUGCCAAUUGAACUUUUGGACGUUACCUAGCCAACAGUGCAAUUGCAUCGACCUAAUCAUUUUUCUCGUGAGAAUACAUGCAGCAGGUUGUUGAUCCUCAGCAGUCCUUGUCAUAGUUUGGGUUCGUUUGGCAGGACUGUGGCUGAACGACUCUGGCUAUAGUUUCUUUGGUGGAGUAGCUUUUUUUCUCCGACUUAUCUGGUUGGAAAAACGUUUGGCAAAACGACUUCUCCUGGUAGUUUAAAAUUUCUUUUAUUCUCAUCUUAUCCAUUCAUCUCUGCCGGCCGGCCAUCCAUCUCUAUCUUUUAUACUCCCGCUGACCGUCUGUCCUCCUGCUGGCUGCCUCACCCCUGCUGCCAUCAAGCUCUCCCCCACCCGCGGCUCGUUCGCGCCGCGGUUGAGCUUCGCCCGCGACUCGUCCACGCCGCCGUCGAGUUCCCCACCCCGAUGCGCCUACGCGCGCCGGCCUCCUCCAUGCACCCACCAGCCAACUCGCCCCUGCCUCCAUGGUCAAACUAGGGAGUUUAACCCCGGGAGCAAGAUGGAGCCGUGGGGAGCCUAUUUUUUGGGCUCCGUCUCCAUCAAUCUGCUCCCAUCACCGUAUUUUGCGGAGCUGAUGGUGGAGCUAUUUCUUCCCCCACCCCUUGGCAAGGCUCGAAAAAAACCGGUGGUGAAGCUGGUUCGGAAGUUCUGCCAAAGGGGCCUUUAUUAGAUCUCCAGUUCUCCACCUCCACUCCAACGUGAAACCAGCACUACCACUUGAGCCUUUGAGAACGGAGAGAGAUCACAAAAAUGCUAAGCUGGCUGCCCACCUUGAUGGAUCGGCCGGCCUCAUCCUACGUCGCCGCCGUCCUCCUCUUCUUGCUUUUGCGGCCAUUAUUGUGUGCGUCCGACGACCGGCUUGUCCUCGGCAAGGCGCUCUCGCCUGGCACACCACUCGUCUCCGAUGGCGGCGCCUUCGCGUUGGGCUUCUUCUCCCCGCCCAACUCCGACUCAUCGUCACUGUACCUUGGCAUCUGGUACAACAACAUCCCAAAGCUCACCGUGGUGUGGGUGGCCGACCAGGCCGCCCCCAUCACCGGCGACCAUCUUUCAUCCACCCCACCGGGCACGCUCGCCCUGACCAAUGCCAGCAACCUGGUCUUGUCCGACGCCACCGGCCGAGUGCUCUGGACGACGAACGUCACCGCCGACGACGCGGUGGCCUCGCCGUCGUCGAGCUCGAGCCCUAUGGCCGUGCUUCAGAACACCGGCAACCUCGUCGUACGGUCCCCGAACGGCACCGCCUUGUGGCAGAGCUUCGAGCACCCCGGCGACGCCUACCUGCCCAACAUGAAGAUCGGGAUCGUCUACCGGACGCACUACGGCGUGCGCCUCGUCUCGUGGAAGGGCCCCGCGGACCCGUCGCCGGGGAGCUUCACCUUCGGCGCGGACCCGGACAGGCCCCUCGAGCUGGUCAUCUGGAACGGGACGCGCGUUCACUGGCGCAACUCGCCGUGGGAGGGCUACAUGGUGGACAGCAACUACCAGAAGGGCGGCGGCAGGUCCGCCAUCUACAGGGCGGUCUACAACAGCGACGAGGAGAUAUACGCCGCCUACACCCUCUCCGACGGCGCGCCGCCCAUGCAGUACCGGCUGAGCUACUCCGGCGACCUGGAGCUGCAGAGCUGGAGCAACGACUCGUCAGCGUGGGUCACGAUCAUUAGGUACCCUACCCGCGCCUGCAGCGCCUUCGGCUACUGCGGCGCUUUCGGCUACUGCGACAACAGCACGGACGCCGCCGUGCCGGCGUGCCGCUGCGUCGAAGGGUUCGAGCCGGCGAGCGGUGCCGGCUGGAGCCGCAGUGACUUCUCGCGCGGGUGCCGCCGGAAGGAGCCCGUGCGAUGCGCCGACGGCUUCGCGGCGGUGCCGAACAUGAAGCUGCCGUAUGGGUACACGCUGGUGGCGAACCGGAGCUUGGAGGAGUGCGCGGCGGGGUGCAGCCGCGACUGCUCCUGCGUCGCGUACGCGUAUGCGAACUUGAGCACCAGCGCCACCAAGAGGGACCCCACCAGGUGCCUGGUGUGGACCGGCGAGCUGAUCGACAUGGAGAAAGUCGUCGGGACCUGGGGUGACUUCGGUGAGACGCUCUACCUCCGGCUUGCCGGCGUCGGCGCAGGUACUGAGUAUUAUCGUUCAACUAAUCCACUCCCAUGUUUUCGUGUGGUGGCGUCAGCCUCAUAAAUAGAUUUCAUCAGACGUUUAAUUUGAUGGCUAAUGCAGAAAAGGAAAUGAGCAUUGCCUUUUUUUUUCAGGCAGGGGGGCAAGGAAAAAUGUAGUGAAAUUUGCAGUUCCGGUGCUUUUGGCAAGUGUUCUUAUACCCAUGUGCAUCUUCAUAUGUUUUCCCAAGUUCAAAGGUAAACUAUAUAUUUCUUUAUAUCUACCAGUUCCAUUACAAUAUGCGCAACAAUUAACACUUGUGCGUUCCUCAUGAGAGAAGAAAUGCUGAAGAAAAUCAACGGGGAAAAUAGCAAGAGGCGAGCAAUGCGAGUUUUGAGUAUUUCUGAUGAACUAGGGCAUGAAAUCCCUGCCCAAGAUCUUGAGUUCCCAUUCAUGAGAUAUAAUGAUAUACUAAUUGCAACGGAUAACUUCUCUGAAGCGUCAAUGAUUGGGAAAGGAGGUUUCGGCAAAGUUUACAAAGUAGGUCACCUAGUGGUAGUUUUUUGUUGUUCACAUUCACAGGUUGCUGAAAAAAAAUUUGCAUCUUGAAUUGUUUUUUGUUCCUCUAAGACUAAUAACAUACGAAGAACCUCUUUACAAUUCUGAAGGGAGUGUUAGGUUGUCGGGAAGUUGCUGUCAAAAGGCUUAGUAUUGGUUCCAAGCAGGGAUUAGUGGAGUUCAGAAAUGAGGUACUAUUGAUUGCCAAGCUACAGCACAGAAAUCUUGUUCGACUUAUCGGCUGUUGCAUGGAAGGCGAUGAAAAACUGUUGGUCUAUGAGUAUUUGCCCAACAAGAGCUUGGAUGCUACUCUAUUCAGUAUGUUCUAGUAUCUCUCCACAAGCUGCCCAGAUAGUGCUGAAACACCAGUUCAUCUUGCUCAUGAAAUGUGGCUCAUGUGCAGGCAGUACAAGAAAAUUAGUGCUGGAUUGGUCCAUGCGAUUCAAGAUAAUCAAAGGAGUUGCUCGAGGACUUCUUUACCUCCAUCAAGAUUCAAGACUGACAAUCAUCCACAGAGAUCUUAAGUCGAGCAACAUUUUGCUGGAUGCAACCAUGAACCCAAAGAUAUCAGACUUCGGCAUGGCAAGAAUCUUUGGUGACAAUCAAGAACAAGCAAACACUAAGCGGGUCGUCGGAACAUAGUAAGUUCCAUUCAAUUAUUUUGAUCAAAUUAACGUUUCAUUGAACCUGUUGCAAUGACUUAAUGUUUUCAACCCAUACUGGUCAAUUUAGUGGCUACAUGGCUCCUGAAUAUGCUAUGGAGGGCAUCUUUUCUGUGAAGUCUGAUGUCUAUAGCUUCGGCGUAUUGCUCUUGGAGAUCGUAAGUGGUGUUAGGAUAAGUUCCACUGAUUACAUUGAAGACUUCCCAAAUCUUAUAGUCUAUGUAAGUAUUAUUAUACUUUAUGAAUUCUACACAAGAUUUGAAAAUCUCAAAGUUGAUAUUCUAGGGAGGAGUAUGAAUGGAAACACCAAUCUCAAAGUUAAGGGGCUCAAAUGAAUCUGCAUGAUGUUUGUUACAGGCAUGGAACCUAUGGCAUGAUGGUAAGGCAGAGACUAUGAUAGAUUCAUGUGUUGUGUCAGGUUGCAUUGUGGAUGAAGCUAUGCUUUGUAUCCAUGUAGCACUACUGUGUGUUCAGGAAAACCUGAAUGAUCGGCCAACCAUGUCGUCUGUUGUGCGUAUCUUGGAUAAUGGAAGCAAGUCACUUCAGGCGCCAAAUAGGCCUGCAUAUUUUGCAGAAAGGAAUAAUGAAGCAGAGCAGACAGGAGACAGCGCCAAGAACUCUAACAACACUGUGACUCUUACAGUUCUGGAGGGACGAUAGAGCAAUCUUGGUGUGAGUCAGAUAUGAUGGCGGUGCCGGGCGAGAGCCUCUCGCCUGGGGCAAGCUUGUCAUCGGAAGUGCACAAGGCCGGCAAGAGGAGGAAGGCUGCGAUGCAGAUAGAAACGGAAUUCAUGGUGGCAGACUCGCUUUGGUGCUACGUUGUGAACGAGAAAUCUUCCUGAGAGUUGUAGUGGAGAUGCAAGUGAGCAGCUGACUACUUGGAACUUGGAAGUCUUUGGUUCGUGCGCAAUGAUGCAACACUUUUAACAUUUUCUCGUAGAUCAUAUGUAAUGGAGUUGAAUAACCUAGUACAUUAGCAGUUCAGUUGUACACAUCGAAGCAGUUGUUACUUUGCCUCUUUUUAGAGUUGUUAAUGUAGCAUUCGCUUCGCUGCCUAUUGUGUGGAUCGCCUGCCAUUUUGAAGUGUUGCUUAUGUACUCUGUGACUAAGGGUGCGUUUGGUUCUAAGAACAAAGUGGGACGGGAUGGGACGGGAUGAUCCCACUUCAUCCCACGUUUGGUUGGAAGAUAUAUGGGACGGGAACAUUCCUAUGAGGGAAUAUACCCUCCAGAUCCGGGAUGACCCCGUCCCAUCAAAACGAGCGAACGGGGGCAUCCCACUUCGCUCCCGAGGGGAGGGCGGAGGCGGCGCGGCGUGGCGAGCCUGCCAGCAAGGCUGCCGCCGGAGCCGAGGGAAGGGCGGGGAGGGGAGGGGAGGUUGGGGGCGGCCGUCGGAGCCCGAGGGUCUUGUUGCGGGGGCGACGCUGUGCGGCCCGAGGGCAGGGCGGCGGCAGCGUGGAGCAGUGUGACAUCCUGGCCCAAGGCUUAAUAGAAUUGAUAGAAUACUCAUACCAACAAGUUGCAACUUCUUUUCCGGAAACUCAUCCUCAAAGAACUCCGGGGUUAAGCGUGCUUGGCCCGGAGCAAUUUCAGGAUGGGUGACCGACCGGGUGCGCACGAGUGAGGACAAAGUGCACAGAAAAGACUUGUGUUGGUCUGUGAGGGAAUUCUUGAUAUCCUAGAGAGCUGCCAGGUGUAACUAAAAAGGAAAAAUAAAAUAAAAUAAAUGUAUAGAGAAUGACAUGUGGGGUCAAAAAUACUGUAGCUAACGGUGUCAAAAAUUUUAUCCAUAUCAUCCACCUCAACCUCUCCAACCAAACACAAGACAGGACCGUCCCAUCCUAUUUCAACCAAACACUAAACGGGACCAUUCCAUCCCACAAAACUGGAACGGCACCAUCCCAUCCUAUAUUGUCUCCCAUCCAAACACAUACUAAGUAUAUGUUGUCAGCUAUGGGUCGCUGUUGGAUCGGACUUACAGCCGCCCCCCAAGUGUGGGAUCUGAUCAUUUAAAAUGACCGCCGUCUGAUGGUAAUUGGUUUGGGUCAUCUCUGAUUAGGUUGCAGUACGAACAAAGCUUUCUGAUAAAUAGACGUGACUCCUAUAUGCUUUCAAGUGGGGAUGUAGUCGCAGUCGAUGUUAACACUACUGUAUUGGAUACAAACCUUAUCGGACCAAGACGAAAGACCUGAUAUGACCGACUAUCGGUGAUAAUUAUAAUAAUAAAUUUCAGUGAUUCAAAUUUGAAAAGAGGAGGAUAUCUCUACAGCUAAAAAAGCAAAACCGAGUAAAAACUUUUUUGGUCCGCCAUCCAUCCCUUCGCCUGUUCGUUACCUCUGUUCGCGUUCGUGCUGAUCACCUAUGCCGUCGAUCCGAUCGAGCCCUUCCGCGACGUCCCUCACCUUCCCACCACGAUCGUGCCUUCAACGGUGGCCCUCCGAUCCAACCCUAUGCGCCCUCCCUCAUUGCCUCACGCAGCCAUCGCCACCGCCUUGCCUCCGCCAUCGACCACGCCAUCGCCUCGACCACACGCCGCCAUCACCUCCACCUCGCGCCGCCAUCUCCUCCAACAUGUGCUGCCGUCUCAUCCAACCAGGGGCUAAGGUCUCCUCCGACCCGGUGCCAUCGUUUCCUUCAGCUCGGCAUUGAGGUCUCCUCCAAUCCGACGCCACCCUCUCCCCAACCCUGCCGGCGCCGCCGUCGCCUCCCGGAUCAUUUAUACACGUCCACCCUUGCGACCGUCCGCCGCGGCGCCGCCCGGCCGCUGCCACCACAGGUUCGGUGGCCCCUAGAUGCCGACGAAGUGGGCACUCGCCCUACAUCCCAUCCCAGCGCGGGAGCAGCCGUCGGAGAGGGAGGUCGGUUCCCUGCGUAGCUGCCACUCAACCUCAAUUGACCGAUAAGAGUAAAGCUUUUUCCUCAAUCAUCCUCCAGUUGUGAUUAUACAUGGCUACUACAGCUCAUCCUCAAUUAGUCUCCAUAUUCAUGAAUCAGAAAGCGCAAAGCGCAUAUUUGUUGGUUACUUGAUUAAAGCAUUCCUCAUUGUAGGGAAAAUGUUAAUCUAUAACCGAAGGACUGCAUUGCUCUUGAUGUGAACCUGCAUACAUUUCCGUAACUGAAGGAUUAGCUGCAGAAAAGGAUUCUCAGGUUUCUCCAUUGUAUAAAACCAGUCGCGCAGAGUAUUGCUCUUGGUGUUUGGAAAUAGAUAUAUGGAGGCCAUUCUUUUUUCUCACUAUUCUACAGAGGUUUAGAAAACCUAUUGUUGUGAACAUAAGUAGAUUUCUGCUACUGUUUAAAGUAAAUGUGCUAUUCAGAACAGUCAUGAGUGUUAGAUUGUAAUUAUCUGUGUGUACACUAGUGGGCCCACGGGCCCUGUUAUGUGUAUGGGCUGGCUGGCAGCCCGCCCGUGGGCGCCGCCAGCCCUGACACCUAACCCUAGCCGCCCCCCUGCGCUUGGUCUCCCAGGCCUAUAUAUGGUUGUAGCCUGUGCUCCUGUAUAAUCUAAUCUAAUCUUUCCUCGCCUCAAUAUCUCUUUCAAUGAGGUUUAGAAAAUCUACAUGUUUGGGACUUCCUUGAAUGCAAAAGGAAUCAUUCAAUCUAGCAUUUUCUAACAUACAAUCCCUUCGUUCUCACCAGGAAAAAUACCGUGCUGUCCGGUUCAACCCAAACUUGUGGUAAUCGGGUCAAAAGGUUUGCAAAUGGGAGACUGAACAUCACUUUCCCUCUACUUCUUAAAUUUGAUUUGUGAUCAAACUGGCCUGAAAACACAAAAAUGUCUCAAAUAAACAGAUGACUAAUGAGGUCGGAAGGUCAUUGUUUGCUAAGGCUGGAGAACUGGGAGUGCCAGUUGGAAUAAUGGUGAUGAAGGUAAAAAACGCAUUCCUCUGUUAGAUGUAUGUGCAGUUACUAUUGGACUUUGGGAUUCCAACAGCAAGAAUAAUGUAGCAAUAUGUUCACAUGGUAAAGAGGAGAAGAAGGGCUCAUAUUCGAACAAAGAUUCACAUAUUAUAUUUUUUCAGGUUGUGCCAUUCUAAAGCCAGAAGAACCGAGGAAACUAAUAGUUCAGACAAAUGCGAAUUUUUAACCCUGUUAGUUACACAAGUUACAUGAGCUUCAUGAAAAUCCUGUUUGCAUCUUUUUUGCAAAAUAAAAUUGUAUGAAUAGGCUCCUUGAAUAUAAAGCAACAGGGACUUAAUUAUGCUCUUUGUUACAAAGUCAGAAUUAUAUAAUUAUUCUUUGUUGUUCUUGUGUAUGCAGGGAAUUGUUCUAUAUAUUCAGGAAAUAGAUGUUGUGGACAACUUCUUUGGCAAGAAGUUCCACUGCAGGAACAAGGGCCCACCUCCUCCAGGAGAUGCUAGUUAGUUUAGAUUCAGAUUAGAGAUAGAAUUGGAAUUAGUUGGGAUUUUGUAAGCCGGCUCAUUAUAUAAGAGUCCUGGCGCUUUAGAUUAGGUUUAAGCAGAAGAUAAACCUCAGAGCUCAGAGCCUCCUAGGGAGGGCGAGCAGGUUGUUUAUCAAUCUGCUCAUCAUGUUCUUAGUCAAUCAACUAGCCAUAUCAAUAGAGGAGCUAUGUAGGGAUUAUCCUGAAACUACUGUUAUUCUUGAUCAUAUGGCUUUCUGCAAGGCACCAACGUAAACUUGUGUUUUUGCUUGUUCAUAGUCUGUGUGAAUGUAGUCAUAUGAAGCUAUAGCCUGUAGUAGCUUAUAUUGCAUUACAAUACAAGGACAACUAAGAAGAGAGGGCAUUCUCAUCAUUUCUAAACUUAUCCUGAUUCCCACAGGUAAUCUCCAAAACCUCUUUAUUUUGUCCAUUGGCAGAUCAAUGUGGUCAUGAAAAAAAGUUUUUAUUGUGCAAAUGAGCCUUUUUCAGUACCAGCUGACAUUAGCACCCUCAGAUUUUGUUGUCAGAGAUCCAGGGGCAGUAACACUAUUUCGUGAGGGGCAAUACCUAACCUGAUUUAUUGUCAAGUAAUGGCAUCAUGAAUAAAGUGCCAGAUUGUAGAAGUUGUGCAGUUAAUUCCAUUCCUUCUGCUUCUGUAACAUUAUACUUGCUCUAAUGCCAUGAUCCGUUACUUCAAAAGUUUAUGUCAAAUAUAGUGCUCUUUUCCGCAUCUCAAGUGAAGCAUAUCCAUACGAAGAUACUGCUCAGCUUCUUUCCUGUGUGAUAUCUAACUAUGGAGCCAAUCGAAUAAUGUGGGGACGGUGAAUUCACAUACCCACCGAUAGUUUCAAUUGGUCAUAGACUCCAACAGUGCUUAUGAGAAACCACUCUCAGUUAACUGAUAGCAUGCUCUGAAGUGUCGGAUCAGCAAAUUUGUCCAGUUUGCUUAAAAAAAAGAUGGUGUAGUGGAGUGGAGUGUAGUGUUGCUGGUAGGAUAAUAUAUUCCGGAGGAGCUAAAUCAAGAUUUUGUAAACAAGUAUUAGUUCCUGCAAUGAUCUGUGCCAUCACACCAACUUGCUCGAUAUGUGUUUAUUGUAAUGUUUUAGAAUAAAUAUAUUCUGCAUUAUGUUUAACUCUAACAGGCUUCUACUCUGUAGCUGUUUUGCAGAUUGCAGCAAGACUAAUUUCCAGUGUGUGGACAUACAGUCCAACUUUGCAAGGGAAAGUAUACUGUAUUAAGCAUCCUAUCAUUGCAAUUAUUCUAAUUUAGUUUUGCUGUGCACUAGAUUUACUUAAUCAAAACCUUAUUUUCUUUUACUACUGAGAUAUGUAACCAAAUCAUGAAGAUGUGAUACCAGAUGUACACUGACAUUGCUUUCAGCCAAGUGUUUAGUACAGGAAAUUUCCCAUGAUGAUACCCUAGCCAUUUGUGCACUGGCAAUGAUCCCUCGAUACCUUAAAGGUACUGAAAUUUCAUUUCCAAUAAUUUUUGAGUAAUGUUUGUCAUAGGGGUUCUUUUUUAAUUGAUAAUGGAGAAAUUCAAAUGAAUUAGCUUCCUGAACUACUAGAACCAUAUUUACACCCAGUCCCAACAAUUUCUUUAAUAUUGAUAUAUCUUCAGUAGGCAUGUGAGUGUGCAAAAUCAUUUCAAUUCUAUUAGCAGCGCAUUGACUCAGAGCUAGGAGUGGAAUAUUUUGUCUGCGGAAGAUGCUUCCUCUAAGCCAUAGGGAAGUAUUCAGGUGCAUCCCCUGCUCCGAUUACCCUUUCAUAAUGAACAUAUAUACAUAUGACACUUGCAGCUGUUGGAGAUCAAGUCAUCAGCUACUGAGGAUAGACGAAGAUUAAGCAAUUAAAGAAGCAAGAAGAUUUUGCUAAUCACCUUCUGUUGCCUGGUUUGGUAUCUCAAUGGAACAAGCGGGUCUUCAUUUUUCUGAUUGAUGAAACUGAAGAUGCAAUCAAAUAGAGGAACAUCACACUGGAUCAUGCUGUAUGUUGUACAGUAGUCAGUAGAAUAUACGGUUCCUAUUUAGUUGAUUGUAGUGACAAAAUAUGUAUAUGCAAGGUGUAUCGUAGUCCAUAUAUGCAUCUAAAGUAAAUAAUGAUCUGACUAAAGUAAUGUAAUAUUUGUUCUUAUUUUCACACUAAUAUUAUCCUGUUAGAUGCUCCCACAUAUCGCAACAUUAAUAUUUUGUAGCCCGUAGCAAUGCACAGGCACGAUCCUAAUAUAAAAAAAUGAUUGGUAUUCAACUAAAAAAUAUCGAUAGGUUUUACCAUACAUUUCAAAUGAUGGUCCCACAUGGCUUUUCUUUGUUUACAAAUUUAAAUGGUACUGAAUUUUUGAACGGUUCACCAGUUUAUUGGCCCUGCCCCAGCCAAUAUUGCUGAUAACUUAUAAUGUCGAAGAUAUAUCGUUGAUUCCUAGCAUUGGCGCAUGUUUUUUCCCAAAUUUCAUACCACUGAUGAAAAUGGGGACCAACCAAUUCACAGGAAUUGAAAAAAAAUAAAAACAAAAUUUGGUAUUUUCAGCCUUCGAAUUGGGAAAUUUCCCUUGCCAGGCAACGAGAAAACCAUUGAGCUGUAGCCUAACUUAUGAAAACCAAUUCUAUAGAACCUUUAAUAAGCAUUCUAAAUACUUUAAAUAUUCAAUUUGAGGAAAAAUGACCGAAAAAUCUCCAAAUUUAGAGAUUUUUUUGUGAAGUUUGCUUUUCGAUGGAGACAAAAGAAAAAUCAUAAAUCGAAAUUGGAACCCAUGGUUCUAACGGUACGUAAGGUCAGAGUCUCUUCCUUCAUGGGAAAGAUUUUCUAGGUAUUGAGGGGACAAAUAAAAUUGUCAAAAUCCAUCUUUAUUUUAAAUUAACUAUAAGUGCUAUCUAUACUAUGAGGUAUUUUUAGGACAUGAUGCGUUGGAAAAUGAGUGUAACCGUAGUUUAAGGCUGUUUAAUCAGCUGGGCACAACUUCUGAAAAACCUUGAAGUUCUCACGUUGAAAGCAUAUAGGACUGGAGCCACACCUAGCUUCUUCUUCUGUUUUCUACUGUAAAAUAAAAUGCCCGUGCUGUGAAUUUAUCCGCGAUGACCCACUUCAAAACCAAUUACGAUCAGACGGCGAUUCUUUUUAGAUGAUGAGAUCACAGCCCCCUCUGGAAGUGUAAGCUGAUGCCUGACGCUGACGGCAAUGACUGCAUUACCGGCCAUAGACAGCUCAAAUGUCACCACCAACGUUUUAUUUGUGCUGUCUAGGAAACAAUAACCAGCUUACUGUAGAUACUAGACUUCUGCAUUAUUGCCUGCAGACCAAGUCCUAGUAUAUCCUUGGGUUGUGAGGCUUGCCAUGAGCUGGAAAUUUGUCUGAUGCUCCCACAUUUUAGAGUUUGGCCGCGCAGAUGCCACAGCGACCUGUAAUUGACAACAUAUGCUCAGUGUCAGAGAGUACGUUAACAACACUUGAAAAUGGCAAUUUGGGUAUCCACAGUAAGCAACGAUGGAAGUACAGAUUUAACAAUCUGAAGGUGGCAAAGGAACAAGUGCUACGAUGUGUACAGCUCAACUGCAAUUGUAUUAUGUCAUAGUCUAUAUAUGGUUUAGUACAGCUCAAGUGCUGCAUAUUAUUAUUCGAACCAAGGCUGCAGGAGUUUAUGUUAGUCUAGUACCCAGUAGCUAGUUGCACACUCCCCUACAUCUCGACGGCCAUUUUGAGUUAGAGCUCCACUAGUUAACACUGCAGAAAGUUUUUGCAUCCAUGAGUUCCAUUUCCAUCUGGAUCGCAGCUAUCCUCCUCUUGCCAACCUUGUGCGCUUCCGAUGACCGGCUUGUCCCAGGCAAGCCGCUCUUACUUGGCUCCACCAUCACCUCUGAUGGUGGCGACUUCGCCCUGGGCUUCUUCUCCCCAUCCAAUUCCACUCCGGAGAAGGUCUACCUCGGCAUAUGGUACAACAACAUCCCUCGGCUUACCAUGGUGUGGGUUGCUAACCGGGAAGCACCGGCCAUCUCCUCCUCAGCUCCUUCGCUUGUUCUGACCAACACCUCAAAUCUUGUCUUGUCCGAUGUGAAUGGCCGUGUCCUCUGGACAACCAACACCACCACUGCUGCUGCAAGCUCCUCGCCAUCGCCAAGGUCGAAUGCUACUGGGUCGGUAGCAGUGCUUCUGAACACAGGCAACCUCAUUCUUCGGUCGCCAAACGGCACGACGCUGUGGCGGAGCUUCGACCACCCGGCAGACACUCUCCUCCCAGGCAUGAAGAUACGGAGGAGCUACAAGACACAUGAUGGCAACCGCCUUGUUUCUUGGACUGGACCGGAGGAUCCCUCGGCGGGCACCUUCUCCUUCAGUGGAGAGGCAGACCCGUUUGCGCAGGGCUUCAUCCGGAAUGGUUCACAACCAGUGUGGCGCAGUCCUGUAUGGACAGGCUACAUGGUCUCCAGCCAGUACUUUCAGGCGAACACCAGAAUUGGUAUCUACAUAGCAUAUGUGGACACCGUCGACGAGGUGUCCAUGGUCUUCACCGUCUCCGAUGGUGCUCCACAUGUGCGGUAUGUGAUGAGCUACUCUGGCAGGCUAGAAAUAUUCAGUUGGAACAGGGAUUCAUCAAAUUGGACCAUGCUUACGGCAUGGCCGAGCCACGAGUGUAGCAGGUACGGCUACUGUGGGUUCUCUGGCUACUGUGACUACACGGAGGCUACCCCGACUUGCCAGUGCCUUGAAGGGUUCGAGCCCGUGGAUGCGGGAGAAUGGAGCACCGGCAGGUUCGAGCAGGGCUGCCGGCGAAAGAAGCCACUGCGAUGUGGGGACAGUUUCUUGGCAUUGCCGGGUAUGCAGGUGCCUGACAAGUUUGUACGCAUCAGGAAGAAAGUCCUCAGUGAGUGUGAAGCGGAAUGCAGAAAUAAUUGUUCUUGUGUGGCCUACGCAUAUGCAAAUUUGAACAGCAGCAUAAUGAAGGAUGACCCGACAAGGUGCCUUGUGUGGAUUGGUGACCAGCAGCUAAUUGACACACAGAAGAUAGGUGUGACUCCCUAUAGUACUGCUGGUGCUGACAGUCAAGAGACGCUAUAUCUCCGAGUUUCAGGCAUGCCAGGUACCAUUUCAUAUCAGAAGAACUUCUAUCAGAGGCAUAAACCAAGCAGACGUGCCCAUAUAUAUCAGGGGCAUUCCCACUUGUGGCAUGGUGUCUUAUCAUGUUAUCCUAACGGCCUUACCACACUAUCAUCUUAGUACCUAGGUCUCUUUCCUAAAUAUGCAGGUACAUGACACUAGUUUUCCAUGAAAAUCAAGGAGCUAUCUAUUGACCACUGGAACUAGUUCAGAGGUUUCUGUUCAUGGAAAGUUGGAAAGUUGGCAGCUGGUUUCUGUUCAUGGAAAGUUGAAAACUAGUGUCAUGGAAAGUUGGCAGCUGGUUUCUGUUCAUUUUAUCUGGCUUGUGAAGUUGGCACCAAGAUCAUGGAAAUUUUGGUUAAAACAUAGAUACUGGAAAUCAUGCACAGUAGGGCAGUGGUAACUAGCUAGCUUUAGAAUCUGCUCACACCCUAGAACCAUAUGCUGAUCAUUAUAUGACUACAUGCAUAUUGCGGUCAAUCUACUGAACCGAGAUAUGAAGCUUUCUUUUCUUUCUCAGUGAUCUUAAUUUCUCGUGCAACAUCUAGUUAAGGUGUCAUGUUAAUUCUUACUGGUCAUUAUUUUAACAAAAAGGUACUACUGUGUAAUGUAAGAAUGUAGCACUAAGCGCUUGUUCGGUUGUUUGAAGACUGAAAUCUGUAGUUGCAUGAUAUUAACUUGGUGCUAUAUAAAUAUAUAUGAAUAAUUUUUGCAUUGUUUUGAAGGUGGAAGGACAAAAAAAAAUACAAAUGUAGUGAAAACUAUACUACCAAUUCUAGCGGGUGUUACUGUCCUCACUUCCAUUUUACUUAUAUGGGUCUGCAAGUUCAGAGGUUUGUUUUCCAUUCUAUAUACUGAUUGCAGUUACUUAAGAACAAAUACUCACCAACUUUUGGGAGCAGGAAGGAAAAGAAAUGUGGAAAUUCACAAUAAGGUAAUGCUUGGUGGUUCUUCAGAAGAACUUCGAGAAGAAAACGCUACCCAUGAUUUUGAACUUCCAUUCCUGAAAUUUCAAGAUAUCCUUGUUGCAACAAACAAUUUUUCCAACAUAUCUAUGAUUGGACAAGGAGGUUUCGGCAAAGUCUACAAGGUAAUUAUUUACGCUAGGACUUUCUCUGCUUUUCCUAGUUUAAUUCUUGAAUCAAGCAACUGCACUACAUACCACAAUCUUACCUUUCUUUGAUAAUUACAAAGGGGACACUUGAAGAUGGUCAAGAGGUUGCAAUCAAAAGACUUAGUAGGGACUCAGACCAAGGAAUACAGGAGUUCAGAAAUGAAGUUAUUCUAAUUGCCAAACUACAACACAGAAACUUGGUUCGACUUCUUGGUUGCUGUGUUGAGGGAGAUGAAAAGCUACUGAUUUAUGAGUAUUUGCCCAAUAAAAGCUUGGAUGCUGUAAUUUUCAGUAUGUUCAGUUCAUAUUCAUUUUUCACCAGAGUUUAUAUAGAUCUGAGCAGCUAUAAAUUAUCCUCUUCAUAAACAUGACAUAUUUAUUAUUUGUAGACUGUGAACAGAAUGCAGCACUUGAUUGGCCACUAAGGUUUACAAUAAUCAAAGGAAUUGCUAGGGGGCUUCUUUACCUCCAUCAUGAUUCAAGAUUAACAAUAGUUCAUAGGGAUCUCAAAGCUAGUAAUGUGUUGCUAGAUGCAGAGAUGAGACCCAAAAUAGCAGACUUUGGUAUGGCAAGAAUCUUUGGUGACAACCAGAAAAACGCAAAUACAACACGAGUUGUUGGGACAUAGUAAGCACUACUUAUUGCUCAAACUAACAUAUGAUUGAACCAAAUUCAUCUUUAUGACCUUUGCAAAUGAACCUCACCAGUGGUUAUAUGGCUCCUGAAUAUGCAAUGGAGGGUAUUUUCUCUGUGAAGUCUGAUGUCUAUAGCUUUGGCGUGUUACUUUUGGAAGUUGUAAGUGGUAUAAAGAUAAGCUCUGUUGAUCGCAUCAUGGGUUACCCAAACCUAAUUGUCUAUGUAAGCAAAUAUGAUUACCUUUUUUUAAUUGAGGUAAAGGAUUUUGAAACUUCCGGAGUUAUACAAUCUAAAUGACUGUGAUUGUUUCAGGCAUGGAACCUUUGGAAGGAAGGGAAGGCAAAGGAUUUGGUAGACAAGUGUAUUGUGGAGAACUGCUUACUAGAUGAAGCCUCACUUUGCAUCCACAUGGGGCUCUUGUGUGUUCAGGAAGAUCCUGAUGAUAGGCCAUUCAUGUCUAAAGUUGUGUUCAACUUGGAGAAUGGAUGCACAGCGCUACCAAAGCCAAAUCAUCCUGCAUAUUUCGCGCGGAGAAAUAGUGACAUGGAGCAAUUAAGUGAAGACAUCUUAAACUCUAAGAACACAGUGACUCUUACAGCCAUAGAUGGGCGAUAAAAUAUUUCUCAUGUUAGCUGUACACCUUUUGUCAAGCUUAAUGCUGCAAUGAGAUAACUGCAUUGCUAGUAAUCUCGAUGCUAGAUUAUGUGUGGGAAACCAAACCCAGUCUGGAGUGAAAUAUGAUAAAAAGCUAUAUGAGGCUCAAAGCAUGGCAGUGAUGCAACAGAAAGUCAGAAAACAUACAUAGCACUUGUAAAACGGCAUGGCAAUUGAAACUUUUGGACUUACUCAAAAUGCUUCAGGUUUCACAAGGGCAGCCAACGCAUGGGGUUCCUUACUUCCUUAGCAUGUAUCAGGACAUAAUCAAGCACCUUCCAGAACAACGCAUCCUUUUCCAGAGCAUAAUUAUUUACUGAAUGGGGAAAUAAUACAGCUGCAGCCUACAAAAUGAAGACAUGCCAAUAUGCCAUCAGUAUUUACAAGGCUACAAGCACCACCUUUCGUAGAGUAUUUACUUGUCAAAGUAAGAUGUGAAACCUCUUGCGAGUGUCAGGGGAUGCCAUGCCACCGUUGCUUGUCGCUCCCACUGACCGAGUAGGCUGUUUGACCACUUUGACGCGGCAUCGCCGAUGCCACAGAUACCAAGCACGCCACCUUCCGCACAUCAAUUGCGCCGCACCAACAGACGGUGUUCCCGCGGAUAGGGAUAGCUAGUUAGCUACCACAAACACGAUCCUGUCCACUAUACAUGGUGGAACGUGGUGCAGCCCGCCUAGUGACACAGACACACAGUGUACCAGCCGCUGGACGCCGUGCCGGGGGGGGGGGGGGGGGGGGGGGGGCGCGGUGAUUGGGACAGUUCAGGCAUUCUGUCGAACAGGUGGAAGGCGUUGCGCCUUGCCUGUUUGCUGGCUGAGGCUGACGCUUUUGGAUUGGACACGGCCAACAGAAGAGGCCGAAUGAGUCUGUGGAUGAGAACAUGAGGGCGGAGGGACACCCGGCGCCGUCGACGGAGAGAAUGUCGCGAGCGGCACAGCUUUGGCUGAGACUGUCUCGUGUUCUCCUCUGCCGUGUCGCCACAUUUUGACAAAAAAAAAAAAGCACUCUCAGCGCUAUGGCUCCGUUAAAAUGUUCGAUGCCUCCUUGAACCUUUGAUCAUCUCGAAAUUUUCGAUCGGUAUGGAAGCUAGGUUUGUUCGGAGGGUACAACAAGGACGUAUUCAACCAACGCACUCUACACUCACACUGCACGUCCAUACACACGUUUACGGAAAAGAUUGGGAGACCUAAACCUCCAAUGCACGGAAACGUGUAGUACCACUUACGCGCACGCGUGUGUACCUAGUGAACUCAGGAAUAAUCCUGAGCGAAACUGAGGAAAAACCCCAGUGAAGCACCUAGGUCCGAUCCCAGGGAUCGAACCCGGGCAGGCUGGGUGAACACCCUCGCCAGCAGCCACCCGAGCUAAGCUUGGUCUUCGGUAUGGAAGGUAGGUGUGAUCCACGACGUCAAACGCGCGGCGGUUUGUUUGCCUCAAUUACUCUAUCAGUUUUCUCUUGUUGCUUAUCUGCAAUGUGUGGCCUCACCCACGCGUUAGUGGCAGUUAAACAGCCCAGAAGCCCACUUGUCUAACCGAGCUCCAAUUCAUGCGGCAACACCCAGGUCAAAGGUUCAAAUCCGUGGUCAACUUGCAUUCGGAGUUAGAGUCUGUUUGGAGGACUUCGACUCCUGUAAAAAAAAUAGCUCCAGCUGUGACUCCUCAUGUCCGCUCGCUAGAAGGAGCCGCUGAAGGAGCCCUACCAGGCCUUUGUAUGGACUCAUGUCCGCUAGUCAACGAGGAUUUCCCCGUGUUCAAACGCUAGGUCACCGCAGUCUAAUCCGGAUAGAGGCGAGGCAUCAGCACCAACAAGGACUUCUGCCUGGGGCCCAUUUUCUUGUCAGCGUGUUCUAUGUAAAAAGCUCAAACUCACGUACUGAUGCUCCAGUCCAUCUAUGGAAUUCUAGCGCCGGUGGUUCACGACGCCUCGAGGGCUACUUUUUCUCAAGAAAGGAAACAACUUUUGGUCUCAACUAGUCUAAUAUAGUACAUAUAGUACACACAUCAAACACAUACACAAUAAUAUCGAUGAAGUCACUCCAAGGAGGUUUCCUCCGCAGUGUUUUGGUGACGUUGCGAUGACUGUCUGGCCGGUGAUCCUGCACAAAUGCAAGAAAUUGAUGUUAAAUGCUCGGGUAGAUUUUGGUUUUACCAGGCGAGGUAUCAUGCUACUGCACUAUUAGUUUGUAGGAAGCUGCAACGCAGUUUACUCGUUGCAAAGUUUGACCAAGUAGAUUCUACAGACGGCCGGCCUAAUUAAAUUCGUUGAUGGUGGGAAUGCAUUAGUAAAUUUUGAUUGAAGGUGGCAUUGUGGUUUCGGACGACGACCUCAUCUCCACACUUCUUCUGGAUGCAUGCACCCAUAAGGCCAGGUAAAACGACAACUUUCUCUAAGAAAAUAACACCACGUACGGUGGUAACAACCCAUUUCGAGGUGUACAUCUCAACUAUGACCAACAUAUUUUGACUAGAAUGUUUGAAUUCACUAUAGUCUACGAGAAACCUGGAAAUUUUGCAUUCUUUCGUGCACACCAAGCGCGCAGGAGCUUGCUAUAUAUACUAUAACAAGUAGUCGCUUGCGCUCCUACCAACUCUAGCGCUUUGAUGGAUAAGACUAGCAAACUCACUCAGAGAGCCAGAGACACCGCAGCAAGUCCAAUGGCAUUCGUGAGUUCCAUUUCGGUUUGCACCAUGGCUCUCCUCCUCUUGGCGGCCCUGUGUGCUAAUUCGGAUGACCGGCUUGUCCCAGGCAAGCCGCUCUUGCCCGGCACCACCAUCGUAUCUGAUGGCGGUGACUUCGCCUUUGGCUUCUUCUCCCCAUCCAAUUCCACUCCGGAGAAGCUAUACCUUGGCAUAUGGUACAACAAGAUCCCCCGGCUCACCGUGGUGUGGGUUGCUAAUCGGGCAACACCGGCCAUCUCCUCCUCAGCUCCUUCUCUUGUUCUGACCAACACCUCUCAUCUUGUCUUGUCCGAUGUCAAAGGCCGUGUUCUCUGGACAACCAAAGCCACCAAAGCUGCAAGCUCCUCAAAAUUGCUGAAACUGAGUACUACCGGAUCAGCGGCGGUGCUUAUGAAUACAGGCAAUCUCAUCCUCCGUUCACCGAACGGCACAAUGCUAUGGCAAAGCUUCGACCAUCCGACUGACACUCUCCUCCCGGGUAUGAAGAUAUGGAGGAGCUACAAGACUGAUGAUGGCAACCGCCUUGUUUCUUGGAAAAGCCUAGAGGACCCCUCGCCAGGCACCUUCUCCUACAGUGGAGAGACAAAAUUAUUUCCGCAGAGCUUCAUCUGGAACGGUUCGCACCCAGUAUGGCGUAGCCAAGUAUGGACAGGGUACACGAUCAGUACUAGUCAGUACUACCAGCUGAACACUAGCAUUGUGGUAUACCUAGCAUGUGUUGAUACUGUCGAUAAGAUAUCCAUGGUCUUCACCGUGUCUGAUGGUGCACUACCCAUGCGGAUUGUGAUGGGUUACUCUGGCAGGUUAGAACUACGAGUUUGGAAUAAUAGAGUUUCAUCGGAGUGGGCAAUGCUUGGAAUGUCGCGGCCGGACUAUGAUUGUAGCAGGUACGGCUACUGCGGGCUCUCCGGUUACUGCGACUAUACAGAUGCUACCCCAACUUGCAAGUGCCUUGAUGGGUUUCAGCCCGUGGACAAGGAAGAAUGGAGCAAUGCCAGAUUCUCGCAGGGAUGCCAGCGAAAGGAGCCCCUUCGAUGUAGUGAUGGUUUCUUGGCGCUGCCAGACAUGAAGGUGCCUGACAACUUUGUGCGCAUUGGGAGAAAGACCUUCAAGGAAUGCGCGGCUGAGUGCAGUGGCAAUUGCUCUUGUGUGGCGUACGCUUAUGCGAGUUUGAAUGGCAGCACAUCAAAUGGCGAUGCGACGAGGUGCCUUUUGUGGAUUGGUGAUCAUCAGCUUGUUGACACGCAGAAGAUGAUGGCAGUACAUCCCUAUAGCACUGCUGGUGCCGAGAGUCAAGAGACGCUGUAUCUCCGAGUUGCAGGCAUGUCAGGUACCAUUUCAUAUCCCAUCUUAGCACUGAGGUCUAUUGCCCAAACUAUACAAUAACAUAAUAACACCACUAGUUAGUUUUCCAUGAAAAUCAAGGAGAAAUAUAUCUGUAGUCCACCGGAACUUGACUGUUCCAUUUAUCUGGUAUGUAAAAUAAGACCUACGAUCAUGCAUGACAACACGUAAUAGGACAGUGUGGCAACUAAUUUGGAGUCUGCUCACAUCCUUGAACCGUAAGCUGAUCACAAGGUAUGGCUACAUGCAUAUUAUUGGAGUCAAAUAUAUAUUGAAUAUAUACUGAACUGAGAUUCAUAAUAGUUUCUCGUACAACAUUAAGUUUAUGGAGUGUUCUUAAUUCCUAGGCCGUUAUUUAAUGAAAAAGGUACUAUUGUGUGUAACGCAAGACCAUAGCACUUGUUCGCCUGUCUGAAGAUUGAACUCUGCAGUUUUAUGAUAUUUUUUUUUGAACGGAACGGCAAGAGAUUUGCUGUAAUUUUUAUUAGAAGAAGGGAAUAAAACACAAAGCCCAAAAAGCAAAAAGAAAAUACACGACUCGGCAUGCCCUCACCCGAGACGACUCAACAGCACUAGAGCCGGCACAAAAACUAAAAACUAUAUGAAAAAGCUUUUGCACUGAUUUGCAGGUAAAAGGACAAAAAGGAACACACUAAAAGUUGCGCUACAAAUUUUAGCAGGUGCCGUUGUUCUCACUUCCAUUUUACUUAUAUGGGUCUGCAAGUUCAGAGGUAUGUUUUCUUCCAUAUGCUAAUUACUAACCACAGUUACUCAGGAAUAAGCUCUUAACAACUUUUGGGAGCAGGAAGGAAAACAAAUACGGAAAAUCACAAGAAGCUAAUGCACGGAGGUUUUACUACUUCAGAUGAACUUGGAGAAGAAAAAACUACCAAUGAUUUUGAACUUCCAUUUCUGAAAUUCCAAGAUAUUCUUGUCACAACAAACAAUUUCUCCAGUACAUCUAUGAUUGGACAAGGAGGUUUCGGAAAAGUUUACAAGGUAAUUUACGAUCGAGGUUUCCUUUCUUUGCUUUUCCUAGACUCAUUAUCUAAUUAAAUAACCUGCAGAACAUAUCACAAUCUUACUUUUCUAUGUUAAUCACAAAGGGGGCAUUAGAAGGUGGUCAAGAGGUUGCUAUCAAAAGACUUAGUAGGGACUCUGAUCAAGGAAUUCAGGAGUUCAGAAAUGAAGUUGUUCUAAUUGCUAAGCUACAACACAGAAACUUGGUUCGACUUCUUGGUUGCUGCGUUGAGGGAGAUGAAAAGCUGUUGAUUUAUGAGUACCUACCUAAUAAAAGCUUGGAUGCUAUCAUUUUCAGUAUGUUCUGCUGAACAGAAGUUCAAUGUGCGAUUGAAUAAUUAUAUAAUUUCAUUUUCAUAGACACAUGAUUGUUCAUUGUAGAUCGCGCAAGAAAUGCACCACUUGAUUGGCCAAUAAGGUUCAAGAUAAUCAAAGGAGUUGCAAGGGGACUUUUAUACCUCCAUAAUGAUUCAAGAUUGACAAUAGUUCAUAGGGAUCUCAAAGCUAGUAAUGUGUUACUAGAUGCAGAGAUGAGACCCAAGAUAGCUGACUUUGGUAUGGCAAGGAUCUUUGGUGAUAAUCAAGAAAAUGCUAAUACCAAGCGAGUUGUUGGGACAUAGUGAGUAGUAUUUAAUUCCCAAAUACUCAAAUUGCAUAUGAUUGAACCCAAAUCAUCUUCAUAAUUUUGCUAACGAAAUGAUCUUAAUAGUGGUUAUAUGGCUCCGGAGUAUGCAAUGGAGGGCAUUUUCUCUGCGAAGUCUGAUGUCUAUAGCUUUGGUGUCCUACUUUUGGAGGUUGUGAGUGGUAUAAAGAUAAGCUCUGUUGAUCGUGUCCCAGGAUACCCAAACCUAAUAGUCUAUGUAAGCAAAUAUGGUUAGGUUUUAGUUUCUUCAUAUUAAAUGGUUUAAACUGUUCUAUUACACAAUCUAAUUUGUGUGAUGUGACUGUUUCAGGCGUGGAACCUUUGGAAGGAAGGGAAAGCAAAAGAUCUGGUAGACAAAUGUAUUGUUGAGAACUGUUUACUAGAUGAGGCUUCACUUUGCAUCCACAUGGGGCUCUUGUGUGUGCAGGAAAAUCCUGAUGAUAGGCCAUUGACGUCUUCUGUUGUGUUCAACUUGGAGAAUAGAUCCACAACACUACCAACGCCAAAUCACCCUGCAUAUUUUGUACAGAGAAAUAGUGAUAUGGAGCAAAUGAGAGAAGACAUUGUGAAUUCUAAGAACACAAUGUCUCUUACAGUCAUGGAGGGGAGAUAGAGUAACUCUAAAAAGUAGUUUGGAGUUUGGAUUGGAAUGUGUAACAUAGUGACUUGAAACUUGGAUGUUAUUAAUCGAUUUUUUUCUAAUUUUGAAUCAAAAGCUGCAUAUCCAAAAUUUUGAAGUGAGAAGAAAAAGUAUGACUGUAGGAGCAAAUCUUCAGCUAGCAAAUCAAAUCACAAGAGUAAAGUUGUAUUCGCAAGAGUAAAUCAUCAUGUCAUAGUUCCCUAACUCGCACGGUGUGACAUUAAGCUUCCUAAAAUUGCAUCUAGGGAGUUAACAAAGUAAAAAUGCUAGUUUAGGGAGAGCUAUAUGCGAUAGUGCACAAAUUCAGGAAACUGCAACGCAACUUACUCAUUGGAAAGUUUCACUACGUAGAUUCUACAGCAGCCUAAAUUCAUUGAUGGCAGGAAUACAUUAGUAAUUUUAACUGAAGGCGGCAAUAUGGUUUAGCAUGACCUACAUUCUUCUGUAAUCUAUAGACGAAGUACUACAUCUUCACAAUUCUAGAUGCACCCAUGACGAGUGUAACAAGUCUUCACUAAAUGACAAGGUAACAACUCCUUCGAUGUGUACAUCUCAACUGCCAACAUAUUUUGACUAGAAUGUUUCAAUUGAUUAUAGUCUAUUUGAAAUCUGGAAUUUUUGCAUUGUUGCGUGCAUAUCAAGUGUGCAGAGCUUACUUAUACAUACUGUUAGGAGCAAACCUAGGAUCUCUAGAUGUAGAAUUAGUCGGGAUUACGGGUAAACAUUGAGUUCAUGGGGUUCCAGUGUUAACCGAGAGGGAGAGAGAGAGAGAUGGGGUACCUUCACCCCUAGGGGUGGAAGCGGCAGAGCUGCCGGCCAUCGCUGGUUCUGUCGGUGAAGAUCUGCGCUAGGCAGUGACGCGCAGUGCCGUAGUUCGGUCGAUGAAGCUCUGCGCUAGGUAGCGACGCGCAGUGUCGUAUCGUGUCGUCGACGUGGCGGUGGUGGUGCUUCCUGUCACUGCUACGCCCCCGUGAUCGAUCGGUCUAGGGUUUUGUCAGUGGGGUGGAUGGCGGAACCUCGUACCAUGCGCUCCGGCCCCCACCUCUAUUUUUAUAGCGCAUGUGACAAGGGCCCACCACCCAAUGCUAGGGUGGGCGCCCCCGAUCAGGGCGCGAGUCAAGGGCUCAAUGGGCCGUGGGCCCAUUAGAGAGGAGAUCAAUCUAACACGUACUACCAAGUAGCAGCUUGUGCGCGUACCUUUUCUGUCUCUCUGAGUUUGGUGGCACUCAUGAGUUCCAUUUCGUUUUGUACCGUGGCUCUCCUCCUCUUGCCGGCCUUUUGUGCUUCCGACGACCGGCUUGUCCCAGGCAAGCCCCUUCUUCCCGGCACGACCAUCAAAUCUGAUGGUGGUAACUUCGCCUUUGGCUUCUUCUCCCUGUCCAAUUCCACUUCAGGAAAGCUAUACCUAGGCAUAUGGUACAACAAGAUCCCCCAGCUCACCGUGGUGUGGGUUGCUAAUCGGGCAACACCGGCCAUCUCCUCCUCAGGUCCUUCCCUUGUUCUGACCAACACCUCUGAUCCUAUCUUGUCCAAUGUUAUCGGCCGUGUUCUCUGGACAAUCAACACCAACACUGCUGCAGGCUCCUCACCAUCACCGAGAUCGAAUACUACUGGAUCGGUGGCGGUGCUUAUGAACAUAGGCAAUCUCAUCCUACGGUCACCGAGGGGCAUGGUGUUAUUGUCACAUCCUGAAAUUUUUGGAUUUCAGGAUGUGAUUAAAAAGAAUAAUUAAACAAUAAUUUUCUCAUAAUUUUAAAAAAAAUUCAACAUUUAUUUUCUUGUCAGGAAAUGUAGUAUAGGAAAAACAAUUGGCAGUUUUUCUAAAUUAAAUAGUGUUGUUCUGUGUGUGCUGCAUUCAUGCCGAUGCAUCUUGGUGUUUAUAGAGUGCAAAUGUUUUAAAAUGCAUUUAGACGACGACUAGAUUCUUCUGAGAAUUUUUUAGCUUUUUCUAAAAUUUAUUCUCAUUUUUCUAGGACCAAAUCUAUUUAUUAGAAGGCUCUACAAUCUUUUUCACGAGCUCCAAAUAUUAUAUUUGGACUCCUCGUGUCCCAGAAUUUUCAGACUAUGUUUCAUGGUUUAAAUGAUUUAUCUAGAAUUUUUUGAAUUUUUCUUUCACAAGAAAUUAUUUCUAAAAAUAAGCUAACUUCUCUAUCCUAUCGGGCCGAGCCCGUGGGCCCAACCCGCUCCGUUUCAGCUGCAAGCCUGCCCGACCCACUUGGGCCCAGCAGCCGCCGCAAUCUGCUGGCGUCCGAGGCCGUGCGCAUCGCAGCGCCGCCGCCCUCGUCCCGCAGCCCUAUAAAGGGCGACGCCUCCUCCCCUGCGCGCCCUGCGACUGCUCCCGUCGCCCGCCACCCUUCCUCGCAUGAGCAGCACCGCCGCCGUCCGAGCCGGAGUAGAGCCGAGCGCUGUCGGAGCUCGCCCGGUGUAUUCGCCGCCUUCUUCGCCCACCAGACGAAGCUGGUGACUCCAAGAGCUCCAGGAGCUUCGGGACAUCGCCCCGUGCACCCGCCACCGUUCACCAUCCUCAUCUCGUCACCGGAGAAGCUCGUCCACUUGAAGACUGGAGCCGCCGCCAUUUCCCGUCCGCCUUCGGUCAAAUUCCGGCCGGAGCACCGCAUCCCGCCCAUCGGUGAGCACCCCUACAAGCUCCCCUCUACCUCCUCUACCCCUGCGCCACCUCGCUUGAGUCCCUAGCCGCCGGAGCGCUAGCAAGCCGAGGUUCCUGAGCUCCAUCCGCCAUGGACUCAAGCUUUUGUGAUUUGGCCCCUGGAAGAUCCUGUAAUCUUUAAUAGUCUUCCUGUGUCUUGACCAAUCCUCAGAAAACCCCCUACAUCUUUGGGAUCCUUGCAACCAAGUCCAACCCGAGCACUUUAACAAUCUAUCCCCACCCUUUUCAGCCUUUUGCGAGCACUAUUUAUAAUGUCUUGUAAAACAUCUCAGCUAGCCCUCCAGAUCUUUGGUUAAUCACGAUUCGACCCUUGCAGCUUGUUUAGCCAGUAGAUUCCACGUUUUAGCUCCGUUUAUCCUCGUUCUUAUUUUGUUAGAUUCAUAUCAACUUAAAUGACGUAAUUACAAGCAAUUCUAAUCAUAUUCCCUAGUUUUAAUUUAUUUAAAAUAUUAAUAUGAUUAAUUUCUUAUGCACUUGUUUUCUAAUUAAAAGCUAUUUAGAUCUUUACCUCGCUUUCAUAAUUAAGUGUUAAUUUCAUUAAUACCUAUUGAACUAGUUUUUAUUAAUAAAAUCUAAUUAUGAGCUAUACCACGGUUGUUCAUAAUUAAACUUAAAUUGAUUAAUGUGUAUUCAAUAUGUUUUCUAAAUAAAAGUUAAGUACGUGUAACUCGGGUUUUAUAAACUAAUGUUAAUUUGAUUAAUGUGAAGAUAACUCUAAUCCGAAAUAUAAUUUGCUUAGUCGAACUCGAAAUACAAAGUUAUAUGCUUAGAUGUUUAUAUAUGCUUUAUUUCUAAAUUAAAUGUUUAAUUUGUAUAACUUGUACAUAAAUAUUUGUAAAUAAAAUUUGCCAAAGUUUUACACCAUAUUUUCAUAUAUAAAUAUAACUUGCUUAAUUCCAACUAAGGGUAUUUCUCUGAAAUAUCUUUACAUUAUUUCUCUCAGCUAAAAUAAAUGCAGCAUAUAUGUGGCAGAACCACCCAAAUUAACCUGGCUAAAUUGUACUCAACUUCACCUCACAUAUUAAUCGACACUUUAAUCGAGUCAAUCUAGUAGUCUGUCGGGUUAUACCUAAUAAACCACUUGUCUCGGAUCGAAACAAAGCAUACUCACACGAAGGUGAGUCCAGAUAUUACAAUAAUUCAAGUCCAUUAACAUAGAUCCCUCUUAAUUAUUACAUCAUAAUAGUUCGAAAGCAUAAAGCAAAGUUUUCAGAGUUCAAAGCAGCGGAAAUAAAGCAGAAGUUUAGACGUUGAUACAACAAUGCCAUAGUGAAGCCUCCCAUGACAUCAGUUACCACGAUCCUCGCCGACCGAGGAUGGGUCCCACUCGACCGUCUAACCCGGAGGGAGCUGGGUCAGCCAAGUCAAGCUAGCAGCACACUCAUCAACAUCUACCAUAUUACUUGAAAAACAAGCCACAAGCAAGGCUGAGUAUGCUAAUACUCAGCAAGACUUAACCAUCGGGUGGUAACUACUCCACCAACUUCUAGACAUGCAAGACUUUUUGGCUGAGGGGUUUGUUUUUGCCAAAAGCAGCUAAAUAGGUCCUUACUUUCAAACUUUAGCAUCAUGUUCUAGUUAAUUAACCAUUCUAGGUAAGCACCUGUUCUAAGCAAGCAUGUUGACCAGACAUUUUAUUCCAAGCAUCAUCAUUAAGAUAAACAUUCUCUGUUCCACUUCUUACUCAGUGCAGCACAGUGAUCAAGCAGUCUCAUACUGUGAGAGGCAGAUGAUUCAAAUCGAGUUUCUUAACCUUGCAAGGUGAACCUAACCCCACGACAGUGCGUACCACGACAGGUCCACACAUGUCAGCCGUCCCCAUCAAUCCCUGAGCUUGUGGACAGAGCCUACUUCCCUUGGAUAUAAGGCCCCACGGUCCUGGAACAUCAUUGUACCGUGACUGCACUUGUACCCACAUGAUGCACCAAGGGAAACUCCGUUCCAGAGACAAUAGGGAUAAAGCCACGCCCUGGUUCAAUCAGGUACUAGACUUUCCUAUCCUAUACUAGCUAUGAGAUUAGUACUUUCAAAUACUUGACCAUGAACACCGACAUAUUUCGGUCUUAGCAUUUUUAUUGCUAGACAGAUGGGGCAAUCCACCAAUUCAGACCAAAAGCCCAGCCCCGCCCGUCAUCCUUAUGGUUGUAGCAUAAGUAAGCAAGCAACUCCUAUAACUCGUGAGUGAUAGGAAAUCACUCGAUUUUUACCGAGUCCUAUUUAGCAUUGCAGCUACUCGACCUAUCAUACUAGUGUUCAAACAUAGGUACCUAAGAUCAUGCAACUAAGUUUUCAAUCAACUCCUAUGAACUUAAAUGCACAAACAUAAGGAGCAUAGAUAUUGCAUGAACUUUAAAUCAGGGUUAUGCUCCGGGACUUGCCUUCCUGAUCUAGGUUAGUGGGGAGCUCGUUGGAAGCCUAGCUAGGAUCUUGCUCAGCCUCGACUUGAUGCAGCUCUGCCGGUGUCUCCUCGGUUGUCUAGAGCAGCUUGUAAGUUCCGUUCGCAAGAUUCGCUUCUACACAAGAUGCAUAUGCAACAAUUCAAGAUUUCACGAUUUCAUAUGCAAGAUGCAUUUCAAAAGAUAUUGCAGAAGUAUUAAAACCGUAACGACCACAUCACCUAGACAAGAUUCCAAACUUUCAUUUCCUUCAUGAAGUAAGGUGUAUUGUGAUUUAAACCCGGGGUUGACCUUGAUGGUGAUUGUGCACACAUAUAAAGUUUUAUUCAUUUAAACUUCACAAAAGAUAGGUGGGGUCAUUUUAGGGUUGCUCAACCUGCAUUUGGAAAGUUAUCCUGUUUCUGAAUUUCUAAACAACUUAAUUUAAUGUAACAUUUACCAUAUUUUAAGUGUAUUACUCACAUGCAUUAAUUAAGCAAGUUAAAACAUGUAGCAACCAUAAGCUAGUAUUUUUUUCCUAGUUAAAUAGAGGCAUCAAGAACCUAACAAAAGUGAUCUUGCAUUUUUAUCUAUUUUCUUCCCUUUAUAGAGCAAAUAAUAAGAUCACACCUAGCAUUCAAGCAUUUAACUUAACUCAGUGAGUUUCACAACUAAACUAGUGUUGCAAAAGUUCUAUUCAGAACCAGCAUGCUAAAAUUAAAUCCACCGAGGUGGAUUCAUAUUUUUCUCAUUUUUCCAUGAUUUAUAAAGCAUUUAUUGGCUUAAACACAAAAAAAUCCUAAGGGAAAAAUACAAUAGCGACAUGUCCAAAACCAUUUUUCUGUAAAACUACUCAUCACCAGGAGUCUAACAAAGUUGGAUUUGUAUUUUUAGCAUUUUUCUACAUUUACCUAUGCAUUUUCAAAUUUUCAGCCUUUUUAAAACAAAAGUAAAACAGAAAAGAUAAAACGUUUCGCGCUCAGGCCCCUAGAAAGAUUUGGGGACUUGCAAUGUCACCCCUGGGGCUCGACCAGCGGCUUGCCGGCGUAAAUCCGGUGAGCGGCAGCGCUGCUAGGGUUAGGGAAGGGCACGAGGUUGCUCAAGGGCUCACCGCGAAGAGAUGUGCUGAGGGUCUCGGGUGCGGGGGCGGCUCGAUGGCGGCGGUUGAUGGCGAGGUCUCUAGCGCGGUGGCGGAGCUUCUUCUUCAGCGAUGGUAGAGGUGCGGGUGGCCAAGGGGUGGCUCGGGAGGCUCGAGUGGAGUGUGCGUGGUGCACUUGCGGGCUCAGCGGGUGGCAGGGAUGGCCGGAGGGUGGAGCUCGGCAGUAAGGUGCGCGACAACACUCUCGUUUUGCUAGCAGCGGGAGAGGUGGCACAGUGAGGUGCCGAUGAGGCUUGGGGCGCCUUUUAUAGGCUAGGAGAGGUGCGAGGAGGCGAUAAGGAUGCCGUGGGUGAGCUCAGGCCCACCGGGGCACACGGAGGCGGCCAGGCAUUGGCGGCGCAGAAGGAUGACGCGCCGGAGUGGCUGCGGCAGCGCGCGUGUGUGGGCACUCGACGGUGAGUGGUGGAGCGGGAUUGGGGCGAUGCACGAUUCCUUAGGUCGCGUGCAGGGACUGGCCGGGAGGGGAGCUCGAGUUGUCACCUCCAUGGCGGCGAGUGGCUGGGCAGCUCUGCCGGUGGCGCGGCGUGAUGUGGUGGUGGCGAUCUGCAGGGCGUGUGGUGCGUGCGAAGGCCAUUGGCCGGUGGAGAUGCAUAGUGGCGUGCGGCACGGAUUGGGCGAAACCCCGAGGACGAAUUGUCCUGUCGCCGACGAACAUUGGCUGGUGAGCUGCGCCGGUCGGGUGGCGCCACGUGGCGACAUCGCGCGCGAGACGCGCGGUGACCGCGCACCGGGCAGAAGGGUGGGAACGCGGUGGCUCUUGACAGCUAGGUUUAUGCUCUGCUAUUGAUCCAGAAAUCUUAGCGGACUACUUCUUAUUAGGGAAUCUUUGUAAAAGCCUCAUAGCGUCCCUAUGCAGUCACACCUCGGUAGUGUGAUGAGUGCAGCAUGGUUGGGUUUAAAGUUCUUCUGAACUUUUACACGACUUGUGGGUAAAGAUGUACAACCUCUGCAAAGUGUAAAACUGAUCGAUCAGUUGUGCUCACGGUCAAGAGCGGCCUGGACCCUCACAUGAUUAAUAAACUUGAAGAUGGUUUUAAAUCGUUAUUCUGGUUAUUUCUUGUGGCCUUGCUGAGUACCAACCAUAAAUGCACUCACUCUUACUUAUUGCUACUCAGAAGAGGAAGGUGUGUGAAGUUUUCUGAAGAUGAUGCUAAGUUCUAGGUGUACGCAACCCUUAGUCGAUUGCCUGUGAAGUUUGGAGCUUUCGUUUUCAGGAUUAACCUGUAAACCUCUUAUAGACUAUAACGUCAAGGCCAGUAAUGGUCCAAAAAUUACUACCGGUCAUUUGUGCAUGGUUUGUAUGAACGUCGCACCUGUUCGGCUGUUCACACGUAUAAAUCUCACUCUCGCUACCAAUUUUAGUCAUAUGGCAUGAACUUUGACGCUGAGUUGACACUGGUUUGCAGAUGAAGACAAAAGCAAAUGCAGUAAGGAUUAUUCUACCAGCUUUAGCGAGUCUUAUUGUUCUCACUUGCAUUAUACUUAUAUGGAUCUAUAAGUUCAGAGGUAAGUUUCCAUAAUAUAUAUACUAAUUGUGGUUACUAAAUGAAAACCUACUCACCAAUUUUCGGGUGCAGGAAGAAAAAUAAAUGCAGAAAACCACAAGAAGCUAAUGCAUAGGGGUUUAACAACUUCAGAAGAACUUCUAGAAGAAAACACUGCCCAUGAUUUUGAGCUUCCAUUUCUCAAAUUCCAAGAUAGUCUUGUCGCCACAAACAAUUUUUCCAAUAGAUUUAUGAUUGGGCAAGGAGGUUUUGGCAAAGUUUAUAAGGUAAUUAUUUAUGGAAGGUAUCUUUCUUUGUAUGUUCCAGUUUGAUCAUUCAAUCAAGUAUCUGCAUUACAUAUCACAACCUUACUUUUUUAAUAAUUACAAAGGUGACACUAGAAGGUGGUCAAGAGGUUGCUAUCAAAAGACUUAGUAGGGACUUGGACCAAGGAAUACAGGAGUUUAGAAAUGAAGUUGUUCUAAUUGCCAAACUACAACACAGAAACUUGGUUCGACUACUUGGGUGCUGUGUUGAGGGAGAUGAAAGGCUGCUAAUUUAUGAGUACUUGCCCAAUAAAAGUUUGGAUAUUGUCCUUUUCAGUAUGUUCAAUUCAUACACUAAAUAGUUGAGGAGUUAUAUAUUUUCAUUUUUCAUAUACAUGACAUAUUUACCUUGUAGGUUGUGAAAGAAAUGCACCGCUUGAUUGGUGACAACCAGAAAAAUGCAAAUACAAGACGAGUUGUUGGGACAUAGUAAAUACUAUUAAUCACAAGUUAAUAUGAAUAUAUAUGACUGUACUAAAUUCAUAUUUGUAAUUUUUGCAAAUGAAAUGUCUUUACCAGUGGUUACAUGGCUCCUGAGUAUGCAAUGGAGGGCAUUUUCUCCGUGAAGUUUGAUGUCUAUAGCUUUGGCGUGUUACUAUUGGAGGUUGUAAGCUGUUGAUCGCAUCCCAAAUUACCCAAACCUAAUAGUCUAUGUAAGCAAAUAUUACUACUUCACAGAUUAAGGGUUUUAAAUGUUUAGUCUUAUACGAUCUCAGUGAGUGACAUAAUUGUUACAGGCGUGGAAUCUCUGGAAGGAGGGGAAGACAAGGGAUUUGGUCGACUUAUGUAUUGUUGAGAAUUGCUUGCUAGAUGAAGCUUCACUUUGCAUCCAUAUGGGGCUUUUGUGUGUACAGUAAAAUCCUGAAGAUAGGCCAUUCAUGUCUUCAGUUGUGUUCAAUUUGGAGAAUGGAUGCACAACACUACCAGCGCCAAACCACCCUGCAUAUUUUGCACAAAGAAAUUGUGAUAUGGAGCAAAUGAGACAAGAUAUUACUAACUCUAAGAACACAAUGAUUAUUACAGUCAUAGAGGGAAGAUAGAUUAACUCAAAUUUUUAGUCAUAAAAUAUUUUCUAGGAUAAUUUUGUGAACAUAUUUUAGCUUUUAGUAUUAAUCUGGAAAUACAAUAUGCGGCUACCUUUUUGCUACUAGUAUAGUGCAAACGCUUUGUUUUGAAAACCAAAAGUAGCCUGGACGAAAUAAUCUUAAACGGAUAUAUGAAGCUCAAAACAUCCGAUUGGGAUGAUGCUGAUACGGAAAAGCAUAAGGUUUGUAAAACAAAGCCUCUACCUAGUAUGGGGGCAGCCGGGCAGGGGAAAGGAUAUGAUAUUUGGUUAUCCAUUUUCACCCAACUUUUUUUGGGGCUCUCGACAUCUUUGGAAGGUCAGGAUCAUACUGCUGUGCUCGUGUUUACAAUUGUAGCACCAUGUAUACACACUCUGUCUAUAGCAUAUAGUAGGGUGACUUGCAUCAAAUUAACGUACGUUUACUUAAACGUGGUACGUGUAGUUGGGUUUGGCCAGAAAGUCCACUGGCGGUUUUUUAGAUAAAGAAAAAAACAUUACAGCCUUCACACUCACGCGUGAGUGCAUAUAGCCAAUCGUUACAAAUCAAGUACUAGUACUUAGACUAGCUACAAAAUGCCACAUAAUAAAAAUGGUUCUAAACAAAGUAGAAAGAAGUGAAGGCUAGCUGAGGCUUAAUCCUAUUACUAAAUUUAAUCUUCUUCCUUUGCUUAUCUGUAAUGUGCGAGCCCUAUGCUUCACUGACAAGAUGAAAGUACGUCCGACUAGGCAAAACAACAACACGGUCUAUAGCUCACUUGUCUAAUCGGGGGCUCCAACUGGCGCCCAGGACAAAAGCCCAAAAUAAUCCGUCACCAAGCUCCUCCAGUGUCGUGUCAUCAACUCUUCUUCAUGCGGUAAUCUCCGGUUAUUAUACUUGCCACCUUGCAUUGGGAGUUUUGGAUCAUGAGCUCGUACGUAUAUAUGGACUCAUGCUGUGAUCAUGUCCGCUUGAAUCAACGAGGAUUUCCCCGUGCCGGCCGCCGUUCCCCCAACGACUACGUCGUCGUCGCCGCAGCCUAAUCCGGAUAGAGGCGAGGCAUCAGCAGCACCAACAAGGACUUCUGCCUGGGUCCAUUUUCUUGUCAGCGUGUUCUACGUAAAAGCUCAAACUCACCUACUGAUGCUUCAGUCCAUCUAUGGAAUUCUAGCGCCGGUGGCUCAUGACGCCUCGAAGGCUACAUUUUUUAACAAAGGAAAGAAGUCUCCUUUUGGUCUCAAGUAGCCCAAUAUCUUUUGAUGAUCUGGACAUUUGCACUUCACACACAUACAAAAAUAUCGGUGAACAAGUCAUUCCAAGGGAGUGUUGUGGUGACGUUCUGCCCAAAUGGCAGAGAAAUCGUCCAUAUAUGCUGGUGAAAGAAAAUGUUGUGGCAAAAAAAAAAUUGCUUGCUCACUGCGAGAGCCUCACAAGAAAGAUAUUCAAGCUUAGGGAAAAACAGGACAGGAGGAGAGAAACGCAAUAUGUGUGGGAGUGUAAGUAUCAGGAGCGCCUUUCUUGAAGAACCCGGAUGGGUAUUUAUACUGUUUCCAGCGAUGGAUUAUUGCCAACUUGCACUACGGGACACAGGAACAUUGCCGAGUGCCCCAGGCACUCGGCAAAGCUCCAAAAGCACUCGGCGAACCCUUUGCCGAGUGUAACACUCGGCAGUGGGCACACGACAAAAAACCUACCGGCAAACAAACUUUGCCGAGUGUUUUUUGCCGGGCACCCGGCAAAGCUUUUGCCGAGUGCCCAAAAAACACUCGGCAACAAUUUCAGAAAAAAAUAAAAAAAAACAUUCGCUGGCCGCCGCCGCCGCCGUCGCCACUGCCGGCCACCACACGCCGCCACCGUCACUGGCCCAAGCCCUCCCUGGAUCUCGCUGCCAUCUCCCUCCCCAUGGCCAGCGGCGCCGCCAUCUCCCUCCACCUGGCCCACGCCGCCAUCUCCCUCCCCCUCCAUGGAUCUCGCCGCGCCACCGCCGUCUCCCUCCCCCGGCUCGCGCCGCCGCUGUCUCCUCCAUCCCUGCCCACGCGCGCCGCCGCCCCCCCUCCGCCCCUGCCCACGCGUGCCGCCGUCUCCCUCCCCCUCCCUGGAUCUCGCCGUUGGGGGAGAGAGGGAGGGAGGGGCGGCCCCGGCCGUCGGAUGUCGCUGGUGGGGAGGGGGCAGCCGGAGAGGGAGGGGGAGGGAGAAGGAGGGGGCCGGCGCCCGGAUCUCGCCGGUGAGAGGGAGAAGGAAGGGGCCGCCGCCCGGAUCUCGCCGAGGAGGGGGCGGCCGCCGGGGGAAGGAGUGGCGGCCGGCCACCGCCGGAUCCGGCCCCGGGAGGCCACCACAGCCCCGCCCACCAUGGCCUCCGCCNNNNNNNNNNNNNNNNNNNNNNNNNNNNNNNNNNNNNNNNNNNNNNNNNNNNNNNNNNNNNNNNNNNNNNNNNNNNNNNNNNNNNNNNNNNNNNNNNNNNNNNNNNNNNNNNNNNNNNNNNNNNNNNNNNNNNNNNNNNNNNNNNNNNNNNNNNNNNNNNNNNNNNNNNNNNNNNNNNNNNNNNNNNNNNNNNNNNNNNNNNNNNNNNNNNNNNNNNNNNNNNNNNNNNNNNNNNNNNNNNNNNNNNNNNNNNNNNNNNNNNNNNNNNNNNNNNNNNNNNNNNNNNNNNNNNNNNNNNNNNNNNNNNNNNNNNNNNNNNNNNNNNNNNNNNNNNNNNNNNNNNNNNNNNNNNNNNNNNNNNNNNNNNNNNNNNNNNNNNNNNNNNNNNNNNNNNNNNNNNNNNNNNNNNNNNACGUAGGACACUCGGCAACUUUUUUUGAAAAAAAAUUAAAAAAAUCCAACAGUUUCAAAAAAUACCAAAUUUUCACACGAACCAAUAUAUGUUCUCUAUUGUCUAUACAAAAAGUUUUGUAGUCAAACAAAACUCGACCGUCACUUCGACUCUAAAUCUUAUCGAAUCCUCUCAAAGUUACUAUUCUUCUUCUGAGAUGCUUCGGUUUGUAAUCAUUGUACAUGAUGAAAAUGUGCAAAACCUUCUCAAUUUUUUUCCACAACCUCCACGUAUUAUAUCAUCACAUCAUGACAAAUCUCAUGAUUUUCAGACUUUGCUUGUUUUUUUUACAAUUUAAAAAUACUACUGCCACACGUUCAUGGUCGUGUUUCUUGAACAAGAUGUUCGAAAUUUAUUUUCAUUUCAUGGGUCAGGUCUCAAAUUGGGCCAAAUAACAUGAAUAUCAUUUUUCUACUCAUUUUGUUCCAUAAUUUGAAUCACUUGCAGUUCAAAUUUGACUUAUACCAAAAAUUUCCUUGAAAUGCAAUUAAUUAAAUAAAUAUAGCAAAUAAAUCCAAAAAUAUACCAAAUUUUAAUAUGGAGAAAUUUUAAUAUGGAGUACCAUAUGUUGUAUGCGGGGAGUAGGAAAAAUUUCAUGGUGAAAAGAGGAAAAAAAUUAUUUUUUUGCUGAGUGUCAAAAAAAACACUCGGCAAACCACCCUCUUUGCCGAGUGUCGACACUCGGCAAACCCCCCUCUUUGCCGAGUGUUUUUUUUGACACUCGGCAAAGAGGGUGGUUUGCUGAGUGUUUUUUAUUUGACACUCGGCAAAGCCCCGAUUUGCCGAGUGUUUUUUAUUUGCCGAGUGUUUUUGGCUUGGCACUCGGCGAGAGCUUGUUUGCCGAGUGCUCGAAAAAAAACACUCGGCAAAAAAAAUACACUCGGCAAUUUUUAGCUUUUCCGUAGUGUUGCAUUAUUAUGAGCAUAGAGACGUAAUGCUACUGCACGAAUUUAGGAAGCUACAACGCAACUUACUCGCUGGAAAGUUUGACCACGCAAAUUCUACUGCGGCCUAAAUUCGUUGAUGGCGAGAAUACAUUAGUAAACUCUGAUUGAAGGUGAACAAUGUGGUUUCGGGCGACCUACAUCCUUAUAUAGGCAAAGCACAUACUAAUUCUAGAAGCAUGCACUCUUAACGUCAAGGUAAAACAAUCCUUUUCUCCAAGAAAAUAACACCACGGUAAUAACAACCCUAUCGAUCGAGGUGCGUACAACUCUCAACUACGACUAACAGAUUCUGACUAGAAUGUUUGAACUCGUUUUAGCUAGCGUACAUCAGAAACCUGGAAAUUUUGCAUUGUUGCGUGCACACCAAGCGUGUAGGAGCAUAUACUAUAUAUACCACGACAAGUAGCCCGCUUCCGCGCCUGCAUUCUCUACCGCUUUGAGGCAUAAACUAGCUAGCUAGUAAACGCACUCAGAGAGCCAGAGACGCCGCAGCAAGUCCAAUGGCAUUCAUGAGUUCCAUUUCGGUUUGCACCAUGGCUCUCCUCUUGGCGGCUCUGUGUGCUUCGGAUGACCGGCUUGUCCCAGGCAAGCCGCUCUUGCCCGGCACCACCAUCGUAUCUGAUGGCGGUGACUUCGCCUUUGGCUUCUUCUCCCCAUCCAAUUCCACUCCGGAGAAGCUAUACCUUGGCAUAUGGUACAACAAGAUCCCCCGGCUCACCGUGGUGUGGGUUGCUAAUCGGGCAACACCGGCCAUCUCCUCCUCAGCUCCUUCUCUUGUUCUGACCAACACCUCUCAUCUUGUCUUGUCCGAUGUCAAAGGCCGUGUUCUCUGGACAACCAACACCACAGCCGCUGCAAGCUCCUCACCAUUGCCAAGAUCAAAUGCUACUGGUGGAUCAGUGGCAGUUCUUAUUAAUACAGGCAAUCUCAUCCUCCGUUCACCGAGCGGCAUGGUGUUAUGGCAGAGCUUCGACCACCCGACUGACACGGUACUCCCUGGCAUGAAUAUAAGGUACCACAAGACACAUGAAGAAAACCGCCUUUAUUCAUGGAACGGCCCUGACGACCCCUCGCCGGGUGCCUUCUCCGUUGGCGCAAAGACAGACACGUUCAUCCAGGGCUUCAUCUGGAACGGUUCGCUCCCAGAAUGGCGCGGCGCAGUAUGGACGGGUGCCACAGUCACCAGCCAGCAGUUCUUUCAGGUGAACACCACUAAUGUUGUAUACAUAGCAUAUGUUGACAGCAUCGAUGAGAUGUCCACGGUCUUCACCGUCUCUGAUGGUGCACCUCCCUUACGGUCAGUUGUGAGCUACUCUGGUCGGGUAGAAGUUAGUGUUUGGAAUAGGGAUUCGUCGGAGUGGGCAAUGCUUUCAGUGUGGCCGGAUUACGAGUGUAGCAAGUACGGCUACUGCGGGCUCUCUGGAUACUGCGACCACACAGAUGCCACCCCAACUUGCAAGUGCCUUGACGGGUUCGAGCCUGUGGACAAGGAAGAAUGGAGCAGCGCCAGGUUCUCGCGGGGAUGCAAACGAAAGGAGGUGCUUCGAUGCAGUGAUGGUUUCUUGGCGCUGCCCGGUAUGAAUGUGCCCGACAACUUUGUGCGCAUUGGGAGGAAGACCAUCAAGGAAUGCGCGGCUGAGUGCAGUGGCAAUUGCUCUUGUGUGGCGUACGCUUAUGCAAAUUUAAAUGGCAGCACAUUAGAUGGUGAUGCGACGAGGUGCCUUUUGUGGAUUGGUGAUCAUCAGCUUGUCGACACACAGAAGAUGCAGGGUGUGCGUCCCUAUAAUGCAGCUGGUGCUGAUAGUCAAGGAGAGACGCUAUAUCUCCGAGUUGCAGGCUUGUCAGGUACCAUUUCAUAUCAUAAGACCUUCUAUCAGAACCAAGUGUUCGCCUAUAAGUGUCAUUCCCACUUAUAGGAACAUGACUUGGCAGGCCACUGUUGUUCAUUUACCAGGUCUUAACAGUAGGCACCGAGAUCAUUGAAAAUCAUAUAGGACAGUGGCAACUAAUUUUAGAAUCUGAGCAGAUCCUAGAAUCGAAUGAUAAUCAUAAUGUAUGGCUACAUGCAUAUUGUAGUCAAUAUAUGUGUAGCAAAAAUAGAUACUGAACUGAGAUUUACAUUUUUAUUUCUUUCUCAGUGAUCUAAUCUCGCAUACAACAUCAAGGCAAGUUGUGGUCCUAAAAUUAAUAGUCACUUUUGUCCAUGCAUUGCAAGAAUGCCGCGCCUGUCCGGCUGUUAGCUCAUGUAAAUCUCACUCUUACUACCAAUUUUAGUCAUAUAUAUGGCAUGAACUUGACUCUAAGUUUUACACUGGUUUGCAGGUGAACGGACAAAAGCAAAUGCAGUAAAGAUUAUUCUAUCAGCUUUAGCUAGUGUUAUUGUUCUCACUUCCAUUAUACUUAUAUGGAUCUGCAAGUUCAGAGGUAAGUUAUCUUAAUAUGUAUACUGAUCAUGGUUACUAAAAGAAAACCUACUCACCGGAUUUUGGGUGCAGGAAGGAAAAGAAAUGUGGAAAACCACAAGAAUCUAAUGCAUAAGGGUUUAAAUACUUCAGAAGAAAUUCUAGAAGAAAACACCACCCAUGAUUUUGAACUCCCAUUUCUCAAAUUUCAAGAUAUUCUUUGCUCCACAAACAAUUUUUCCAAUACAUUUAUGAUUGGACAAGGAGGUUUUGGCAAAGUUUAUAAGGUAAUUAUUUAUGGAAGGUCUCUUUAUUCAAUCAAGUAUCUGCAUUACAUAUCACAAUCUUACUUUUUUUUUAAUAAUUACAAAGGUGACACUAGAGGGUGGUCAAGAGGUUGCUAUCAAAAGACUUAGUAGGGACUCGGACCAAGGAAUACAGGAGUUUAGAAAUGAAGUUGUUCUAAUUGCCAAUCUACAACACAGAAACUUGGUUCGACUUCUUGGGUGCUGUGUUGAGGGAAAUGAAAGGCUGCUGAUUUAUGAGUACUUGCCCAACAAAAGCUUGGAUGCCGUCAUUUUCAGUAUGCUCAAUUCAUAUAUAUAGUAGAAUAAUUCUAUGUUUUCAUUUUUCAUAUACAUGACAUAGUUAUUCCUUGUAGACUGUGAAAGAAAUGCAAAGCUUGAUUGGCCAAUAAGGUUCAAGAUUAUCAAAGGAGUUGCCAGGGGACUACUUUACCUCCAUCAUGAUUCAAGACUGACAAUAGUUCAUAGAGAUCUCAAAUCUAGUAAUAUUUUGCUAGAUGCAGAGAUGAGACCUAAGAUAGCAGACUUUGGUAUGGCAAGGAUGUUUGGUGACAACCAGGAAAAUGCAAAUACAAGAAGAGUUGUUGGGACAUAGUAAGUACUAUUCAUCACAAAUUAACAUAUGAGUAUAUAUGACUGCACCAAAUUCAUAUUCCUAAUUUUUGAAAAUGAAUGUCUUUACCAGUGGUUACAUGGCUCCUGAGUAUGCAAUGGAGGGUAUUUUCUCAGUGAAGUCUGAUGUCUAUAGCUUUGGCGUGUUACUAUUGAGGUUGUAAGUGGUAUAAGAUAAGCUCUGUUGAUCGCAUCCCAAAUUACCCAAACCUAAUAGUCUAUGUAAGCAAAUAUUACUACUUGCAGAGUAAGGGUUUUAAGUGUUUAGUAUUAUUCGAUCUCAAUGAGUGACAUGAUUGUUUCAGGCGUGGAACCUCUGGAAGGAAGGCAAAGCAAGAGAUUUGGUAGACAAAUGUAUAGUUGAGAACUGCUUGCUAGAUGAAGCAUCACUUUGCAUCCAUAUGGGGCUUUUGUGUGUACAGGAAAAACCUGAAGAUAGGCCAUUCAUGUCUUCUGUUGUGUUCAAUUUGGAGAAUGGGUGCCCAACACUACCAGCGCCAAAUCACCCUGCAUAUUUUGCACAAAGAAAUUGUGAUAUGGUGCAAAUGAGAGAAGAUAUUAUGAACUCUAUGAACACAGUGACUCUUACAGCAAUAGAGGGGAGAUAGAUUAACCCUUAAAUUUUUAGUCAUAAAAUAUUUGUUUAGGUUAAUUCUGUGAACUUAUAAUUUGCUUUUUUUUAGUACUAAUCUUGAAAUACAGUGUGCUGCUACCUUUUCCCUACUAGUAUGGUACAAAAACUUUGUUUGGAAACCAGAAGUAGCCUGAAUGAAAUAAUAUUAAACAGAUACAUGCAGCUCAAAACAUCCCGUUGAGAUGAUACUGAUAAACAAAGCAUAAGGUUUGUAAAACAGAACCUUUACCUAGCAUAAUGGCAGCCUGGCAGGGGAUAGGAUUGUUGCUUGCCAUUGAGCCGAGGUCAUCAUCGUUCACCAGCAGAAGCAAUCGCAUAACCCGCUAUCGCUUGCCGGCACGCAGGGACAAGAGACCGGUGGUGUGAAACUGUGAACUGGUGCAGCCAGUGGAUGCAGAGCGCGGGAAUGGGUGCGGCGUAGGCAUUCUGUCGAACAGGUGGAAGGCUUUCCGCGAGCACGCAGGCGAGGCGGAAGACUAGCCGAAGCCACCGAUGAUGAGAAAGUGGGCAGUUGGGCACGCAGCUUGAUCUCGGUCGCUCACACUUUCCUCUCCUCUGCAUUGGCGUCCGGCUGGCGAAGGCGGAACCUGGGAUCUCAGGGAGUCAGGACUCAGGGUUGUCGCCUUGUCGGAGACUCGGACAUAGGAGGACGACGCGCGCUGCGGGAGAAAUUCAAGCGAGUGCUCCCAAUUCCCAAAUUUGAGCUGCAACUUGCAAGCGUACGCCAGCCCAACCCAAAGAAACUAAUUUUAGACCCAUGAAGAUUAAGGCCCACCAAGCCUACAAGGAAAAGAGAAGAAAGCCCACGAAGCCCAUCAGCACCGAAAGAGAAGAAAAGCUUGAUGAGUCCAGAAAUUCCGUGGGGUGCAAGUUUUUUUCGACAACCCGUCUGGCGCAAGUUAGCCCAACAUUAAGCGGACCCCACGUGCCAGCGACACAUCUAGAAAGCAGCCCACUUGUCUGAUCUGACUCCACCUCGCCGGCCUGCCCAAUCCCUUCCAUCUCCAAACCGGAAAAAAACCCACAGAACCCUAGCCUCCCUACCUCUGUCCUGCUCGCUCCGCCGUCCAUCCACUCUACUGCCAGCGGCGGAGAGAAGACCCAACCCGCCGGCUUGAUCUGAGCCAUGGACAAGGUAAACAAGGGGGCGCCGAUCGAGCAACCCGUCCUUCCCCUCAUGCUCGCCAGCUCGCGGGGGGAUCUCUUCUCUCUGUUUGUGAGACUGAUUUGGGUGUGGUUUUGUGCAGCAGCCCGGGGCGCAGGGGGCGGAGAAGGUGCCGGAGGAGAAGGUUCGUAUAUCACUUACCUCCCCUUCGUCCGCACAGGUAGGGCUAGCUUGCGAUUUUGCUUCCAUCAAGUGGCGUGGGAUGUAUGAGCAUUAUAUAUAAAUUGAAUUGUAUUUUGGCCGCAAGCUCUUUUCUGCAUGACUGCUUUGCCUAGAUCGCGUUCCCGAAAUUGUAACAUAUUAUCCUCUGAAACAUCUGUUUGUUCUCUGAGAUGUCUGAAUCAGCAGUUUGUUUUGAGCGGCUGCUUAAUGCAUACUAGCAUAUGUUUGUAUGAAGUAGCAAUUUGUGUACCUUCGUUCGGUAGUAUAAUGCUCCUUUCCCUAAGGGGGGUACAUGGCUGAUGGCUCCUUUGUGCAAUCAGAACUGCAUUUUUUUUUUUUUUGGGGGGGGGGGGGGGGGGGUUAGUUAGCAACUAUUUCUAGUCAGAACUUACUCCUUUUUUUUUUUGUUCAUCCAGCAACUUGAUGAGAAAGAGUUAUAAAGGAAACUGAAAAAAGAUCAAAAGGUAUCAAUCAAGUUCUGUCUUGCUUUGCUCUCUAUCCUUAAUUUUUGUAUUGGUCGUAAUUGGAUGGCCUGAAAAUGGUAAUUAGAUCAAGUUUAACAGACAAAAGUGAUUUCACUGAAGUCAGAAAUGAGCUGAACUAUAAGAUUGGACUAUUCUGUUAUCAUGUGCAUGGAUAGUCAUUUAGGGAUUAAAUGUUGCACUUGCAGGCAAAAGAGAAAGAAGAAAAAAAAACUUAAGGCGAAACAAAAGGAGGCAGCUAGGCUCCAGGUUCAAUUAUAAUGCUCACUAAUCUGUAUAUGACUGAACAGAUGAUCCAGACAUCUAAUAAGUGAAAUGCAUGUUGGAUAUGACUUAGGCACAAGCAGCCUCAGAUGGAACAAAGAAGACUGAGAAAAAACAAAGGAAGAAAGCUGCGGAGGAUGAAAAUCCAGAGAAUUUCAUUGAUCUAGACACUCCUAAUGGCGGGAAGAAAUUGCUUGCGCCUCAGAUGGCCAAGCAAUACAGUCCAAGUGCCAUUGAGAAAUCGUAAGAUGCCUGAAUAGUUUUUUACAUUUGUUGAUUUUAUAAUUUCUAGCACUGUAAAUGUAUAUUUCAACCGCAUGGUUUCUUUAUUUGUAUGCAGAUGGUAUGCCUGGUGGGAAUCAUCAGGAUAUUUUGGGGCAGAUUCUGCAAGCACAAAACCACCAUUUGUUAUAGUAAGUGAUUCAUGCUCUUGAAGGUUGUGCAUGAUAAGAUCGAAGCUAAUUUAGCAUACUGCAUCAUUUUACAUCACUGUAGUGCUUUUUACAUUGUCAAAUAGUGGGUUAGCUUCCAACAAAUAGUUGUCAUUUCUUUUCAGGUUCUGCCACCGCCUAACAUGACUGGAGCUCUUCACAUAGGCCAUGCGCUUACAGUGGCUAUAGAGGUAUUCCUAUUUUUUUUAAGAGAUCUAUAUGCCAUGUUAACACUAGACAUUGACUAUACAAUGCUUUUAUUCUCAUUCAGGAUGCUAUGAUACGGUGGCGUAGGAUGUCAGGUUACAAUGCACUAUGGGUCCCUGGAGUGGACCAUGCUGGCAUUGCUACACAGGUCUGCAUUUAGGAAUUCAUUAAUCUUCUGGAGUUUAUAUGAUGAAUCAUACAAUACAAAUUUAGAUGAUAGAAUUUUGUUGCUGAUAUUAUUUUGGCUGCAUAUAUUGUCAUUCAAGUUGUGGAACAAACAUGUAGAGACACAUGCUGGCAGUGCUAGUUAACAAUGUGCAGACAUUAAAAGAACUCCGUCAGCAUGGGUGUUGGGGACAUAUUAAUGAAAUCCACUUAUGCAAUUUUACUGAAACAUUUUUCAAAAUAAUGUUUUGAAUCCCAUUUCCUACUUUUGGAUGUUAACUGUUUAGCAACUGUUCAUCCAUUAAGUGCAUAAUUACAUAGCUUUUUUGUUGCUUCUAUACCCUUGAGCAAAUUAACAUUGUAUGAUUUUGGCCAAAUGUGAUUGUUUUGUGUUUGCUCAUUUCCACUUGUAUUAUUUCUGUGAUUUAACUUGGAAUUUGUAGUUCAACUUCUUGUUUGGACUUGACAAUGAGUACUUCAAUGUUUUGUACUCGCUUCAUUUUGAUAUGGAAAAAGCUAUCGCACGCGUGGUCGCGCUGGUGUCAAGUGCGCGACCUUGCGUGGCCCGUGCGUGAGCUGUUGGAUCGUGAGCCGAUUAAGAUGGGCUUUAACUAACUGGAGGUACAUUUAUAGGCUACUUAAAUAACUGGGCUAAUUAGGCAAAAGCUAACGUAUGCAGAUCGUGUGGGGUGAAGUGGAUUGUACAGCCCAAGUAUUUAUUAUUGUGUAUGAACUUUUAAAAAUGCGAUAAUUUUCAUAUGGAGUAUCCGUUUUCAAAUCCGAUUGCGCCAGCGUGUUAGUUACGAUGAGAUCUAUGAAACAAGAUCCAUGAUGCAUAUGUUUUGGAUUAAUUUUAUGUAGUGGCAACUUAUAUUGUGGUAUAGUAUGUGCUUCUGUAUCAAGUUUGUAGCAACUUAUGUCCAAAGCUCCAAACAAACUUUACAUAUAAGUUGCUACACAAAUAAUUUUGAACCUUAUGCCAUUACCUAUAUGAAGUAUCUACAUAAGUUGCCACAUUGUCUUUAUUUGAGUUGUUAUUUUAGCUGCGCAUAAGUUGUGUACACAACUUUUACCUAAGUUGUUACAUUUGUCUCUGUAUAAAUUAAUUUGCUCCUCGACAUUAGAAAUGCAAUAUAAGUUGCUACGUAGUUCAUGCAAUAUAAGUUUCUAGAGUUUUGGUUUUAGAUCUAGUUUUUUAGGAUUUUAAUUUUUGGUUUAGGAUUUUAGGGUUUACAUUUAAUGUGUAGAUUGUCUGUUGUCUUUAUUGAGGUGAUACAUUAUCUUUAUCUAAGUAGAUCGUACAACUACACAUAAUAUAAGUGGAAGAACUGUGGUGAUAUAAAUUGAUACAUAGUGUCUACAUAAGUUAAUACAUAGCCUAGUACAGUACUACUAUUUUUAUACAAGUUGAUACACAAACUCUACACAAGUUGAUACAAUCUCUAUAUAAGUUGAUAGUACCGUUAUAUAUAAGUUGCAAGCUCAAGUAAAUUUACUUCAAAACCUAUGGAAUAUGGGUCUUAUUUUGUAGAUUAUAUCGCAAGGAACACAACUGUGAAAACGGAUUAAAAAACGGACUCUUAAUGAGUUAUCAUCAUUAGAAAAAAAAUGGAACAAAAUAAAACACGAUGGCAGUCUCCAUGACUCCACCUAACCGUCCUGCAUGGCAAUUAAGAAAAGCAUGCGGAAGCAUGCGGUUGUUGUGUUGUUUCACACGGACACCAUUAGAUGGAUAAAGGGGUCGCGCGCUCACCCUCUGCGCGACCAGUCGCGCGUUAACGAGCUCCUUUUGACAUCUGCUCUCGUGUAUAUCAGGUUGUUGUAGAAAAGAAGCUUGUGCGUGAAAGGAAGCUGACAAGGCAUGACAUAGGGCGUAAAAAUUUUGUUUCUGAAGUAAGCACUUUUUCCGAUGACAUGAUUAUGUUUUGUUGGCCAAUUGAUCAUUUGUUUCCAUUAUAUUACUUAGUGUCAUAUGUUCUGAAAUGAAAUUGUUGACUAUUUUGUUCGAAUACUUAAUCCUGCACCUGAUGUAUCAUUUUUCUGUUCACUUCACUUAGUCCAUUUUUUAAAUCUUCUUACAAACAGGUACUCAAAUGGAAAGAUCAAUAUGGUGGUACCAUAUUGAAUCAAUUGCACCGGCUUGGGGCCUCACUUGAUUGGUCCCAUGAGGUAACAUACCUAUUCUAUUCAGUUAGGAAAAAACAUGGCAUGUGGUUGAACCAUGCAUAUUAACAUCAUUUCAAACUGGACACCAGGCUUUUACAAUGGAUGAGCAAAGAUCAAAAGCUGUAACUGAAGCUUUUGUAAGGUUACACAAGGAAGGCCUGAUAUUUAAGUUAGUUCCCUCACACUUUUUGUUCGAGUGUAAGUGUUAAAAUGAAAAAGAGAAUCCACUAUCAAUUGUGCUUUAUUGUUGACCUACACUCCUGUUUUUCAAUUGCCAACCUUGUUUGAAUGGAUAUUCCUUUUCAGAGACUAUCGCCUUGUGAAUUGGGAUUGCAUACUUCGAACUGCAAUCUCUGACAUCGAGGUUAAUGGAUCUUUAUAUUGUUUAUGAUAUGUUAGAUAUCGUUAUCCUUUGUGUGCUUGAUUAAGAUAAUUUUCUUAGAUUGAAAAUGCUGAUUUGACAGGUUGAUCAUAUUGAUCUUAAAGAUGAAACUAUGCUAAAGGUCCCUGGUUAUGCCAAUGAGGUGCAGUUUGGUGUAUUGAUAUCUUUUGCCUAUCCUCUUGAGGAAGGACUGGGUGAGAUUGUUGUAGCAACCACCAGGAUCGAAACAAUGCUGGGCGAUACUGCAAUAGCUGUUCACCCCGAGGAUAAAAGAUAUAAGCAUCUGCAUGGAAGGUAUGCAGUCCACCCCUUCAAUGGCCGAAAACUCAAAAUAAUCUGCGAUGCUGAGUUAGUCGAUCCCACGUUUUGUACUGGGGCUGUCAAGGUAAGAGCUGCUGAGGGUUACUUUUUUCCAAUCUUAUCUACUUGGACCUUCCUCAUAUUCUUAGAUGGUAUUGUUUGCUGGUUUUUUAUGCAGAUUACACCUGCCCAUGAUCCAAAUGACUUUGAGGUUGGAAAACGGCAUAACCUGGACUUCAUCAAUAUCUUCACUGAUGAUGGAAAAAUAAACAGCAAUGGAGGUGCACAAUUUGAAGGAAUGCCAAGAUUCACUGCUCGAGUUGCCGUUAUUGAGGCGCUGAAGAAAAAAGUAUUACUGGAUUUUCUUAACUAUAUCCCCUUGAUAUCUGAUUAUCAAUCUUUUUUAUGAAUAUAUGAAUUACAAUAUGUGGCAUGGAAUGCGUGAUUUAACAGAGUGAAAAUGCAAAUAGUGAAAUACCAUGGUCUUUGUAUCAUAACCAUGAUCUAUCUAUUUAUUUCCUAGUGUGUUGUACAAAGGGGAAAAAAUCAGUAUAGUAAUACGGAGUCACGUUAGUUCUACCAUGAUCUUCAGUUCAGUAUCAGUACUGGAAAUAGCUUAUCAGCAUCAGAUUGGGAUCGGUUAUCAAUAAUUAUGAUUUUUCUAGGAUUUCAUGUUUUAUAGAUAUCCUUCAUAAUGUGGAAAUUGUUGAUAGAUCACUUGAUAGGUCUUUGGCUUCUUGUUUUAUAUGAUGGAUUAACCUUUUUUUAUUCUUCUAAUUAAGGGGUUGUUGUUGACACCGUUUUUUGACAUACGUCAAAGAUGGCGUCAAAAGGAAGUAGAGGUGCCGAUGCAUACUGAAGAGACAACGGCUAGUGGAAUCGGCCGAUAGGGUUGCAGAGGGCACAGCCGAUGAAGUUAUAAGAGAUCGAUCGAUGAUGACGAAAGCUUUGCCGAUGGAGGAUGAUAGAGGCAUAGCCGAUGGAGUCAGCCGAUGUGAACAGAAGGAUUCCAGCCGAUUGGAAAUGUCAAAGGUUCAGUCGAUGAAGAGCAGGUUUUGGCCGAUAGAGGCCAAGUUCGUUUCCGACUCCUGCGCGAGUCAUUUUUAUUUUAUUUAGGGAGUUUGUUUCUUUAGAGAUAGAUCUUAUGUUUUGUCGUAAUCGACUAGGACUAGAAGUUUUGAUGUUUAGGGUAUAAAUAGGGACCCUGCGAGGUCUGGAAGGAUACACAUCAUAAUCAAUACAAAUCUACUAUUUUUGCAAUUUACUCUGAAGUCGGUGACUUCGCCAUUGUUUUCUUUUCUUCACGAGUUCUUCCAAGCUAGUUGGGUUGCAUCGCUUCGAUCUCCGGCUAGACCGUAAGUUUCGCGUUUACCGAAUACUGUCUAGACUUUAACUUCGGGCGUAUCGCUGUUGUUUCAUCUAGAUUUAUUCACAAGUUAUCGAUAUUUGCUAGAUCUGCAAGCUUUAUUUGUUAAAUCUUGUUGUUUUAGCUUUUAUCACAGUUAUCCAGCUUGAAACACGUUUCGAUUGGCUUUUACUUUGUUUUCUUAUAUCAAUCUACUAUCACAUAGCUGAUUAAAUCUGUUUUGAGUGUUGUUCACGUAGUACUGUUUAGAUUGUGUUUUACGCUUCCUUUACAUCUACUACAACCACAUUGGCUGACCUAGUCGAUUGUCUUUUGUUCAUGUCGGCAGUCCUGCCGAUACGCCAUGUGGAGCGAUUCAAAAUACCAGCCGAUUUUCUCUUGUAUUUGACAUUUUACUUGUCUUUGUCAAUCAACAGGUCAGAUUGAUUGGCACGCCGCGGAUCGAUAGGGCUACAAUCCAAACAGGAUCGAAUCAAAUUCUCCCAGGUUUCGUGUGUUAGUGCGCAAGGGUCUUCUCUUGAUUUUUGCGUCAACAGUUGUAUAAGGACACAAAGAAGAAUGAAAUGAGCUUGGGCAUCUGUUCAAGAACUAAUGGUGUAGUGGAGCCUAUGAUAAAACCACAAUGGUUUGUUAAUUGCAACUCCAUGGCCAAGGCAGGCCUUGAUGCUGUGAGGUCCAAAAAGAUUGAGAUCAUUCCCCAGCAGUAUGAACAAGACUGGUACAGUUAUAUCAUACAAUGCGUCUCCUUUUGCACUCAUCAUGUCAAAUGAAUGACAUAAAUCUGAAAUAAAUUACCCACCCAUUACUGCUGUCAUAAAUCUUGAAAACAUACGUGAUUGGUGUGUUUCGAGGCAACUUUCGUGGGGACAUCGUGUACCUGCAUGGUAUGUGACACUAGAAGAUGACCAGGAUAAAACCCUUGGUUCUGAUAACGACCGUUGGAUAGUCGCAAGAAAUGAAAGCGAUGCAAACCUGGAGGCACAGAAAAAGUAUCCAGGAAAGAAAUUGUGGCUAGAUCAAGACCCUGAUGUGCUGGACACAUGGUUUUCAUCUGGUCUCUUCCCCUUAACAGUUCUUGGUUGGCCGUCCGAUACUGCUGACCUCCGUGCUUUCUACCCAACUUCGGUACUAGAAACUAGACUUGAUAUUCUCUUCUUUUGGGUAGCAAGGAUGGUGAUGAUGGGACUGCAACUGGGUGGUGAUGUGCCAUUUCAGAAGGUAUAGCAAAAAUUCCCGUUCAGUGCCAUUUAAACUGUAUCAUAUGAUUGUAGCAAUCUAGUCCAUACACUUUGUUCAUGAUAGAUACUCUAUUCAAAACCUAUCGCUGCUUUCUGUAUCCCCUUAAUGUGGUUAAAUCCUGUAACACUAUAAUCUGAUCAAGAAGAGACCCAUGCCUGUAAUGUUGUGGAUGUAUAGUCAAGUUACCAGAAGUUUGUUAACUAAAAUAUGGAACCCUCCCAUUU